CAGCGAGUGAUAUCUUACGGCGACCACUUGAUGUGGGGAAUGUGGGAUAUCUUAUACCAGUCUUCUCCUUCCCCCUCUCUAUAACGGUUUUCCAGAAUGAGACAUCUCCAAAUUGUCAAUUCCUGCAGCGUCGUCGUCCGAAGAAGGUAAUCCGGCAGCACCUUUAAUUUGGGGCAAUCCCAAAUUCGCAAGGAAGAAAGACGUAGUAUGUCUGUUGUCCUGCGAUCUUCUAGAACGGGCAGUUCUUCUAGAAGAUAACAAGAAUAAAUACUCAGUUCCUGCAGUGUCGUCGAUUGAAGAAGGUAAUCCGGCAGCACUUUUAAUCUGGGGCAAUAAGAAAUCUCCAAGGAAGAAAGACGUGGCAUGAUGGAGAUGUUUUCCGUCCUCGUAAUCCUGUAAUUCCACUCUUCCACUUCAUCAAAUUCGCCAAUUUCGAGAGAUUUCAAUUUGGGGAAGGCAAUAACUGAUGAUGACGAUGAAGAUGAAGAUGGGUCGUCCUCACUGCUUUCUUUUAUUCCCAAAAACUCAUUACCUACUCUUUUUACACUUUCAAAGCCGCGUAGUUCGAGUUUUUCCAGAGGCAAUUUUCCCAAAGGAGGCAAAUGCUCACAGUUUACGCAGUAGAAAAGGCUUAAAUCCCUUAGAUUGGUUAGUGAAGUCAACCAUUUGGGAAAAAUGUUGCCUCCGUAGAAUAUAAUCCUUAACUCCUCUACAUUCAAAGGCGGUUGUAAGGCUUCAAGAAGUUGUUUAUCUUUCUCGUUCUUCCUCCUCCCUUCUUCGCCCUCCCCAUCUACGACUCCACCAAACUCAAGAUGCAAACGAAGGAGGUUUUUCUUAUUGUAAAGUUGUAACCUCUCAGCCUCAUCUACAUGCGAUACAUUACUCAGCCCUUCUACUCUACAUUCACGAAGGAGUUGAAGAUUUUUCAGAGAUUCAAGCCUACACGUAUUGCUACCAUCAACACCUCCACCCACCACAAACUUUUCUAAUGUUCGAAGGCUAGUCAAUUUGGAAAUCCCUAUUGGCAGGUACUUCAACGAACGAGUUUUAUCAUUCAGUAAACUCCUCAUGUUCAUUAACUUCCCAAUCCCUGCAGGCAAUUCUCUAAGAUAUUCGCACUGCCUAAUAUCUAGCUUUUGUAAAUUAUAUAAUUGACACAAAGUCUCAGGUAGUCUCUCUAACCUUAAUCCAGACAAAUUAAGAUAUUUUAAAUGUAUCAAUUUUCUAACUUUUUCUGGAAUUUCUAUAAUCAAAUUUGCCUCAGGAUGAAAACCUAAAAUGUGAUAUUGCCUCAUAACUAAUGCCCUCAAACACGCCAAUUUACUAAAUAACUCCGAAAGGAUGCUACUACUAAGAGGCCGACUGUAAGGACUUUCAUCAUAAAUUAAUAAGGUACGCAAUCUAUUAAGUCCAUGAAUGGACAUAGGAAAUGAAGUGCCUCUUUGAAAAUUUAACCCUAAGUGACGGACUUUGUCACCAAAAGAGUUUAUGACUGAUUCUUUGGUACCAUUAAUUUCUACCCACAAACAUUCUUUUCUACUUACAAAUUGGGCAAAAUCAUGUACUAUGUCAUGCAUCUUACACCCCAGAAUAUCAUCAUUGUCAUCAUCUUUUUCAAACUCUUGAAAGAAAGAGCGUGUUGCUAAGAUGUUGAAAUAUUCUUCUCCGAUCAUCUCCAUUUCUUCGUCUUCAUCUGCAUUAAGGUAACCUUGAGCCAUCCAUAGAUUAAUCAAUUCCCUUUUAUUCAUAUUGUAGUCUUUUGGAAAGACAGCACAAUAUGAGAAACACCGUUUUACCAUAGAAUUGGAGGGCAAAUCGUUAUAACUCAACAACAAAGGAGCCAAAAUACCUUGCCCAAUCUCUUCUACUUUCCACAUUUCACUCUCUAAAAUUCUUUGCCACUCUUUUAUUGUACUUUUAGAGCGCAAGAGAUUCCCUAUUACCUUUGCAGCAAGAGGUAGGCCUUUGCACUUACAUGCAAUUUUUCGCCCGAUUGGUUCUAAUUUUUCACAAUCCUCAAAGGACCUACGUAGAAAUGCUAUCUGCUUAAACAGUAACCAACAUUCCCCUUCACCCAACUCCUUGACAGGGAUAAUAUCUAUUGAUCCCAACUGCAGUGCAACUGACCUAUCACGUGUGGUAAUUAGAAUUUUACUUUCAUGGUGGCCAUUCUUUAGACAAGAAAAGAAUGGGUCCCAUUUUUUGUAAUCUCCAUCCCACACAUCAUCUAAAACAAGAAAAAAUUUCUUCCCCGUAAUAUAUUCCUGAAUCUGUUUCAUAAGAGAUUCGAAUUCGCUUAAACCAGAAGCUGACGCGCCUAGACUUUCAAUGAUUGCUUUGGCGACCCUAAUCUCCUCAAAAGUGUCUGAUACACACACCCAUAUAACUUUUUCAAAAUUUCUUUUCACCUCAUCAUUAUUAUAGGCCAGUUGUGCAAGAGUGGUUUUACCUAUACCCCCUAACCCAACUAGUGAGAUGACAUGAAGGCCUUUUUGUUGUUCACUACUUUCACACAACAACUUGCUUAAGAGCUCAUUUUUCUCAUCAACUCUACCGCAAACCUCUCCCUCAUCAAUCAAGGAGGUGGUUCGCACUCGCUCUGGUUUCUUAACAUUGCUGCUCACAUUCUCAACAAAUUUAAACGUAUCUUUUUGGGAGGCAAUAUCAUCUAGCUUUCCAUUGAUUUCCCUGAUCUUGACGGCAAUGUCAUGACGAAGACUAAGUUGUUUGAAACUACCAAAGCAGUUUGAUACAGCACAAAAGAAGGAGCGUACCUUCUUAUGAGGAGCAAGAGCAAAAGCAUUGUCAUCAUCAACGCCCUCAAUCUGCAAUUUGAGCCUUGCAGUGGUCCACUCCUCCAACACGUCUUCCAUGUCGUAAGAUGCGUCUUUGAGUUGAUCCAGCCAAAAAGUAACAGCAUUGUCGCGCUGCAUUUGCCUUUUCUCUGCAUCUUCCAGCACAGCUCGAAUGGCUCGAAGAUUGCUGGUAAGCUUUUUCACUUCUUCUCCGACACCAGUCACAAGCCUCACCUGUUGUUUCACUUCAUCAGCCGCAACGGAGAUCAGCUGCUCCAGGAGAGAGGAAACGAUCGCAUCAACCAUUCUGACAAAGAAAACGAGAAUUCUGAUGAGUUAUUAGAUGUGCUUUUGUUGCGAAGAUAUGAAAGAAAGGAGUUAUUGCAUUCUUUUAUACUGCAUAGAAAAGGUUUAUGCUUAUCCCCAACCCACACGUCAAUGAUUGUAGAAUGUUUAAUUUCCCUGAUUCUACUCCACUAGUUGUAAUAUUCUCAAGUUAUGUAUGAAAAUAGCACAAAUUUGGACCUACUGAUGAUUUUUAUGUAUUUUUUCAUAAUCUUCUAAAAUACUGUAUCUGCAUGUUAUUUCGUGCAGAAAUAUGGCAUUGGGUGAAAAAAGUUAUGCUUAUCCCCACCCACACGUUAGUAAUUGCAGUAGCAUCUUUAAUUUCCCUGAUUCUACUCCACGGACGAACACAUUUUUUGUACUAAUAUCUUUAAAUUCCCACACGUUAGGAAUUUGGCACAUAAUCUCAAACUCGUCCCAUCUUUAACGUAUGAGGUUGAUGAAUGAAUUCUUUUCUCAUGUGAAUUUAAAACUCCGAGAUUAUGUGCCAAAUUCCUAACGUGUGGGAAUUUUACCUCCUAAGUAAUCCGGCCCACUGCCAAGUGCCAACUUUUUCUCUGUCGAGUUAAUGAUGUUGUUUUGUUUUCCUUGUUUUAAUUAAUGUUGCGGUGAGAAAAAGAUCGAUGUAAAUGGCUAGCCAGGUUUUGCAGAAACCAUGAAUGGUCUUGCAUGCAUGGGUGGCUUUAAGUAUAGGCCAAAAAGAUGGUCGUCUAAGGCCCCAAAUUUUAAAAAAGCUACAAUUUUUUAAUAUUAAUAAUAAUUCUCUUAUUAAUAAAAUCUUUUAAAAAAAUUAUAUGUGUGGUAGAAAAGCCUAUUAGACAUAUCUCUAAUUAAUAAUUAUCCUAUAAUUAAUAUUUUUUUUAUAUAAAAACCUAUAAUUGGUUAUCUUAUUGUUAAAGAGAUAUAAUUAAUAAUAUUGUUUAACCAUUAAUUUAUUCAUUAUUAGUUUUUCUAAUAAAAAUAAGUAAAUUUUUUUAUCUUUUCAACUUCUUAAAAAAAAACUUAAUUAUUCAACAUUAGAAUAUUUGGCUUUGAGUAUUUCUUUUAAUUUCUACUAAAAAUCUUAUAAUCUAAAAAAUUAUAGAUGAAAAAUUUCUUAUUAUCUUCUCUACGAUGAAGAUUAUUACAUGCAUUAGUUCAUUCAAAAAAGAAAAAUAAAAAAUUAGUUACUUGAAAUACAAAGUCCAUAUCCAUUAUCUAAAAUCAGUUCAUAAUCUCAACUUUUUAUGUGCUACCAUUCUAAAUAUUCUAUUUGAAAAUAGUAUUGUUCUCAUUUAUUCGUUUGCUUCUUUUUGUAAAAUUUCUAAUGAUAAAUUUUAGAUUUUGUUUUCAAAAAUUUUUAGAAUCUUCUUGAUUAUUUGUUGAAAUUCAAGAAUAAAAACUGAAAUGGAUUUUCAGUUCUUUAUUGUUUUAUUGAAUAUUGAAAUUACUAAAUAAAAAGAGGUCUCAUAAAAAAAAAAAAAAAAAAAAGUUCGUCUAAGGCCCCUAAUACUAUAAGCCGGCCCUGCUUGCAUGUGACAUAAAGCUUUAUAGCUUAUUCCUCCAUCAACAUUUCAAUGGUUCCAUCUCACGUGCACUUGGCUAUGAAUAAGGUCCAUGCAUGGAUCGAUCGAUUUAGGAGUUUUGGACCAUCUCAUGCUGCAGAGUUAUGUGUCAUGUAUGUGUGUUGACACUUGCCAGUUCAUUUUUGUUAUAAAGAUUAUUGAUACUCAUAAAUGCACUACUUACAAAUCAUAAAUUUUGAGUUUGACACUUUAGUUUCAUUUUGUAAUCCCUACGCUCUUUAAAUAUUUGUAACAAUAUAUUUCAAACUUUAACUCAGACGUAAUGAAUGAAGGGGGAUCCUCUUCUUAUAUAAAUUUUUAUUUUUUAACGUUCAAGUUACAUUUGAUUACGUGUACUUAUUAUCUAGUUUUGACUAUCUAAUUACAUUUGAUUACGUGUACUUAUUAUAUAAAUUUUUUUAAAAAUGAUGGGUUUGGUGAGAUUUUUUACAUCUUGGAUCAGUAGGUCAAGAACAGGCAGGGCAGGGCCUUCUCUGAAGUCAAUCUUGUGAGCAACACCAGCUUUUUGGAUAAUUGGCAGCCCCAAUUCAUAAUUUUCUCUAUUGAUGUCCAUGGCCAAAAUCUGCAACCGAAGCUUAUUCUACUCUUAUUAAUCGAGAGAUAAUUUUACCUCUAAUUAAUUUAAUUGGGAGGAAAAUCGAGAGAGAUAUCCACUCUGUCCUUAUUAAUUGAGAGAUAAUUUUACCCUUACCCAAUUUAAUUGGAAAGGAAAUCGAAUUCCAACAAUAACUAGGACUUGAAUCCAUGCACUUAAGCUAACUUUAAGUUUUUGGACGCAUGGUUAUAAUGUUCUUUAUUUAAAUCCUAACAAAUGGUGGGACUUGAACUUGUGCCUACAAACAUUGAGUGCUUAGGGGCUGCAAAAUUUCAUAACUUAAUUUUAGUUGAUGUGGCAUAUGCCCUAUCACAUAAAUGUAGGUAAUAAUAAUUAAUACAUUAACAAAAUGAAAAAUAUUAGUUUACAAAACACAAAUCCAAAAUUUUUGUGUGACAGGGGAUUUAAAAGGGAGAGACUAAAUAAAUGUGGUGAAAAACGACAUGUAUUACUAAAAUUGAAAAUACGAAGUCUAGGCAAUUGAAAACAUCGGGUUUUUUAUUUAAAUAUCCCCAAUUUGUCCUUAAAUACCAAAUUUAUACUCUAUUAUAUACAUAUACCUUACGAAGAUAGGGAAGGUAAAAAAUAACCUUAAAAAAAUCAAGAAUCCACACAUUUCUUCCUCUCAGUGCAGGAAGAUGUCGAGUACGAAGUCGGGUAAGUCGAGAAUUUAGUUGAGCAAGAAUUGGAGAUAAGUAAGUCGAGUAUAUAAUCCAGUAGGAAAUUGAGUAAGCAUAUUAAAUGAGUCGAGUAUUAAGUGGUCGAGUAUUAAAUAAAAGUCAAGUGAAUUUUUUGAACAAGUCGAGUAAAAUUUAUGUAAUUUUUAAAAAGGUCAAGUAUUAAGUCGGGCAAGUACAUUGGGUCGAGUAUUAAUAUUUUUAAGGAAGUGAAGUCUAGUAAGUUGAGCAUUCAGUCGAGUGAGAAAUGAAGGCAAUUGAAUAAGUCGAGUAUCUAGUCGAGUACGAAGUCGGGUAUGAAGUAUGGUAAGUUGAGCAUUCAGUCGAGUGAGAAGUUAAGGCAAUUGAAUAAGUUGAGUAUCUAGUCGAGUACAAAGUCGGGUAUGAAGUUUGAUAAGUUGAGCAUUCAGUCGAGUGAGAAGUGAAGGCAAUUGAAUAAGUCGAGUAUCUAGUCGAGUACGAAGUCGGGUAUAAAGUAUGGUAAGUUGAGUAUUCAGUCGAGUGAGAAGUUAAGGCAAUUGAAUAAGUUGAGUAUCUAGUCGAGUACGAAGUCGGGUAUGAAGUUUGGUAAGUUGAGCAUUCAGUCGAAUAAGAAAUGAAGGUAAUUGAAUAAGUCGAGUAUCUAGUCGAGUACGAAGUCAAGUCUGAAGUCUGGUAAGUUAAGCAUUCAGUUGAGUAAGAAGUGAAAGCAAUUGAAUAAGUCUAGUAUCUAGUCGAGUAAGCAGAUUGAAUGAGUCGAGUAUUAAUUUUUUGUUGGCAUUUUGUUGAGGUUAUUUUUGUACUUUCUUCGGUUUUUUAAGUAUGUAUAUGUAAAGUUACAGAUUUUAAUAGAUUGAGAUAUAUUUUGGAUGGUACGAGAGAAACGGGGUAUAUCCCACGCAAUUCCUUCGAAAACAUAUCUGUCAAUUGCAAUGAAAAGAUCACAACCCUUCGUAAUUAAACAAAAUCAAACUUGAAAAAAAAAAAUCACACACACAAAACAAUCACAAAAACUAUUUGUUCUGAUCAUCCCUGCUUUUUUUUAGCGUAGCUCUUGGAAUGAAAAUUAACAAAAAGUGUCAAAAGAGAAGCAUUAAACACAGCAUUGAAGCACCAACCCAAAAUCCCAGAGCAACCAAAUCCCGUAAAAUGAUAAUACAGCAUCAAAACCGAAACAACAAAACUAAACACAAACUGAACAAUCUGACAAUCAGUGACCAAUCUCUUCCACUUUGGCCGCAACACCAUCACACACAAUAGAUAGUACCCGUACAUGAUCACAUGCACACUUGCAUUGGUCACAAGUGCAAUAGGAAACAAAGACUGCUUCGUCUGUAACCAAAGGUAGCACAUUACGACGACGGUUGCAUGGUGGUAGACGUGGAGGAACGUGAGCCGUUGGAUGGAGUUUGACAAAAUGAUCAAAAGGGUGUCUAGGAAUUCGAGUAUUUUGGAGAGGUAGAAGAUGUAAGCGUAGAAGAAGAGGGGACCGGAGGGAGAAAUGGUGGGGGGAAACAGAGGGUGUGACGGAGGUCGGGUGAAUGGAGGACGAUGGAGAGAGUGCAACCAACGGCCAUGACGAGGGAGAGGAGGAGGAGGGUAAGGUUAUGGACGGCUGUGAUGGGCUUGAGGAUGUGGGGUCCAAUGAGAGGUGAUGAUGAUGGUGAUGUUGGCGUUAAUUUGUGGUAGAGGAUGAAUGUGAGGGAGAGGAAAGUGAGGAUGGAGAGAAUGAGGAAGUGUGGGGAGGAAGCUGGGGUUUGGUUUUGAGUCCACGUGAAGUAGAGGAUUUGGGGAUGGUUUACAAGCCAAUAUUGGAGUGUUGAGGUGAUUGAAUUUGAAGCCAUGGCUGGUUUUUAGGGGGAGGAAAGAUUAGAAAGAGAUGAUGUUGAGAGGAGUGGGGGAGUUUAGAAAGUUUGGGAUAAUGUGAGGGGUAUUUUGGGCAUAUAAUGUUGUCUGAGCUUAAAUUUUUGUUAAAAAGAAAUAAUAAUAAUAAUAAUAAUAAUAAUAAUAAUAAUAAUAAAUUCUUUUCUCAUGUCAAUUUAAAACUCCGAGUGUGUUUCCAACAAUUGCUUUUCUUUUUCUAUUUUGGGAUUUUGAAUCAUUUUUUUUUCAAUUCAAUAAUGGCCUCUUCAAUUAUAAACUAUGGUCAAAGGGGAUGGGGUGUAGUGUCUAGGCCUCCGUGACAACGGCAUCUUUGAACGUGGGUUCCAUCAGUUUUUUUUUUUUUUUUUGACUAUUUCUGCUCAAAUCAAACUUGUGGAUUUCGUGCACUCAACGUGGAACCCUUUUGAAUGGACGCAAUGGUUUUGGUGGGAUCACACAAUCCGAAGAAGCAUGGAACUGCGACCAAUUUGUUGACAAAAAUUAGGCAUAAAAUUUACAAAUCGAAGUCAAGAGUAAGAUUUAAGUAAAAUUGAGUAACAUCUUGCACAUCGAGUAAGGAUUUCUACAAUCGGGCUAGAAAGUGCAACUAAAAUUUGGUAAGAGUUUCAUAGAGCAUAAUUUUUAAGAUACAACGUUAAGAGUAUUUAGUCGACAGUUAUAAUAUUACUUGAAUUGAUUUAAUUUCAUACUCUAAUAUAAAAAAUUUAAAACAUACUCUUAUAAUAUUACUUGAAUUGAUUUAAUCUCGUACUCUAAUAUAAAAAAAUUUAAAAUUUCUUUACUAAUUUUAUCGAAAGUAUUAUUUGACAAUCCUAUUUAUUACAUAAUAUCAACGUUUAUAUUAUAAUUACCGCUAAUACUAAAAGCUGAUCUCGUAAUUAAAAGUUAAACAAAAACUCGAGUACAAUCUAGUAAUUAAAAGCGCUAUGGUUUUUUGGCAUUACAAGAUGAUUCAAACUUGAACUUGCCAUCAAAAGUGUAUCAAAACAAUCACAGAGACUCUGUUUGACAAAUCUGCAGUAGAAUUUGCACAAUUUGACUGGGUUACAGAGAGUGAAUAAGAUUCCAAAGCAACAGGCCAUUAUUAUUAUUAAGAAAACAAUUCAUCGCUAGAACAAAAUUAACUUUUCUAACUUACUAGAAUUUAACUGGAGAAAAAUUGGAAUAUACGACGUUGUAUCACAUAUAGUAUUUAGACAUCAAGAAAAGAAUCCCUCUAUCAGUGAACUAUACUUGCCAGGAAACACGGUGAAAUACCACCACCUCCCUACUAGUUCUUAGAUGUCUCAAAAGAGUUUGAUGACGACUUCCGUGUUGUACCUCUUCGACAGGCAGCAAAAUUGGGCUAUUGACUAGGAUUAACUCCCAAGAAAUUUAUGCGGUCACCUUCUUCCGGACUAUCCUCUUUCUUCGCACUUUAGGAGCCCGUGCUUCCCCUUCAACAGAGCCGACAUUCCCUUGUUUGAUGCCAAGGAGCCCAAGCCCAGAGACAAUGGCAUUCUUUGAUAUCAACCACUUUGGGGACUUUUGAGUUGAGCCAUUGACAUCCUGAGCCGCCCCGUUGUAAGCCUUCUUCAAAAGGUCAUAUGAUUGAAGUAGCGGAUCCGCUUCCACUCCUAGCCAAGCAAGCCUUGAUCUUUCUCCUAAUUGGACAUUCAAAAAAUCCAUUUGAGAAGUUGAAGAAUAGUGUAAGUCCAACACAUAUAGGCAGUAAAGAAGAAUUUGGACGGCAAUUACUGAUUUUUUAUGCACAGGGCUGAACAAAUGGAGAUAUUAAGGCACUUAAAAGUUGGAACCGUAUUCACCACUUGUAUUUCCUUAGAGAACUAUCUCAGAGUUCAGUUAAUUUAAAACCAUUCUUAUGUAUUUAACUGUCAAACUAGAGAAAUUGUACUUCUGUAGCGAUGUCGCACUAUUGUUAAGGAUCUGGACUUGGAAAGGAUGCAAGUUGAUUAAGUCAAGAAAAAUUGAAAUAAUACUUGGUGAUAGAUCUGCACACUUCAAUAGAAACCACACUAACCUCUUAUCAGACAAAUAAACAGAUUCCCCAGUCAAAGUUUAACAAACAAAACAUUAAAACAAGGGUAAUUUGGUACGUCCAGAAUAGUCUAUCAAUGUAUAUAGAGGUGUAGAUCAAUAAACAAAUACGUAGAAGAGGGAGAGGGAGAGAUAACCUGGUAACAUCAAAAUGGUUGAAGACCGCUCUAUCAAAUCCACACAAUAGCUGAUAUCUCAUGUUUGCAUAUAGUCCAAGGAAAGCACCAAAACCAAGCUGAUCCCAUUCUUGCUUUAUCCCAUCCCGACAGAAACAAACAUUUAUUAGCUUAAUAUGUAAGAUGAAAAUAAAAAGGAAGGGAAGAGUUCCUUUGUUAUGAGAGAAAAAACACACCUCUCCUUAUGAUUCUCCAACUCCCACAAAACAGUGCAACCAAUUGUGGCAGCCUGCUCUAGUAGAAGUUUAUACAAAAAAGCAGGAUCUGCGAGCAUCCUGUGGCAACAGCAGUCAAUACAUAAGAAAUCUGAUGAGAGAUCCAACAUCUUUAAACCAAUCAAACAUCACCGAACCAUUGGAAAGUGUAUACCUAUAAUUUUUUUUUAUCCCCAAAAACUUUGUCCAAGAUAAAUGAAUGUAUAAAUCUCUUCUACUAGUCUAAGCUUUAACUGUUUUCAACUCCAAACUUCUAAAUCCAACACAGAUUCAAAACAGCCAAGAUUAAUGAGCGACAAAGCGAUAAUAACACAAAUCCCAAAGCAAUCAAAAAGCAAAACCCAAAAAAUGAUAAAUUAAAAGUAAUUCCAGGAGCUCAACAAGAAAGACUACCUGCCAAUGAAUGCCCUCGAGAUUCCCUGAGGAAGUGAACGAGAGAUGAACCUAGUAGUUGUUGGUCUGGCAUUAAUAAGACUUCAGAGGAACAUGGCAAUUAUUAUUAUUAAGAAAACAAUUCAUUGCUAAAACAAAAUUAACUUUUCUAACUUAUUAAAAUUUAACUAGAGAAAAAUUGGAAUACACGAUGUUGUAUCUCAUACGGUAUUUAGACAUCAAGAAAAGAACCCCUCUAUCUGUGAACUAUACUUGCCAGGAAAUUAACACCAGGCGAAUACCACCCCCUCCUACUAUUUAUUAGGUGUCUCAGAGCUUGAUGAGGACUUCCAUGCUGUGUAUCUUCGACAGGCAGCAAAAUUGGGCAAUUGACUACAUUAACUCCAAGAAAUUCAGAGGGCGUUAAUUAAAUACCCUUUUAACAGUAUCUUUUUAUUCUUCUCCAAUCUAACAGUUAUUUGGGAAAUCUAAAUGACAGUCAUGCAUCAAAGGCGUCAAAGUUUGGCUACAAAGCAGCCUGGAAAAGGCUUUACCCUCUGAAUGAGAGCAUGAAUUCGAAAAAUAUGAUGAAUGAAGAAACAAAGGCAUAAUACCACAAGAAGUAAAACUUUUCCCCAGAGCUCUGUUUCUGUUUAUGCUAAAGCCAAUGGAAACCGAUGGAAAUGAAUUUCUACGAAUUAGACAUAUCAGCCAAAACAGGUACUCUGUACAAGCAAAGUAAAAGAGAGUUACAAAAAAAUUUAAAUUGAUAUGAUAAUUAAAAUUUCAGUCACCAUAUAAUCAAUAGAAAACUUUGUAUACAAUGAUUUAUUGCAUAUUAAGAUUGUAUAGCUAAAUUUUAAUUGCUAUACAAAAUAUGAUAUUAGCAUUGGGAGACCGCACCAAAAAGUACCUAAUUGAAUGUGCCUUUUCACAGCCAUUGUACAAGCUUUGAAGCAUUACCACAAAUGCUUUUCAAACCCUUGAACAUGAUGCACCCAAGAGAUGCAAGAUAUGAAAUUGUUACUACAGCCAGCAUUGAAACAUAAUAUUAGCAUUAGGAGACCGCACCAAAGCAUACCGAAUUGAAUGUGCCUUUUCACAGCCAUUUUACAAGCUUUGAAGCUUUACCACAAGUGCUUUUUCCAACCCAUGAACAUGAUGCACCCGAGAGAUGCAAGCUACGAAAUUGUUACUACAGCAAGCAUUGGAGCAUUUGUUAAAAGAAGGAAGUUUAUGAAAAUAUGCCUUUGGAUGGAUACCCAUCUUCAGGAAUCAAUUCAUCCGUAACAACAAUUUUCAAGAAGUAUCAACUGCUUUAAGUUCAUCGACAUCACAGAGAACUUCAACUAAAAUAGAGCGGAUCUGGCCAUCACUAUCCCUUCUACUGCUCUUUUCCUUUAGAGAAUGCUUGAAGUACAGAAUGCGUGUAAGGGAUUCUUAUUCAAGGUCCAAUGAUCAAACCUUGCACAAUAACAACAGAGGUAGUAGUUCCUUCGCCAGCCUAAUCCUUGGUCUCAGGAAUGUCCUCAACAGGGUAUUCGAAAUCAACCUAAAAAUUAAGAAUGAGUUGGAAAACUGUUUAUGGCCCUAAAGAACUUGAAAAUCAGAAAAGAUUACGAAUGAGUGACUAAACAUUUUGAUCGCAACUAAACAUUCAAACCUUGAGAAUCUAAUUUUGAAGUACUCUUGAAUGAAUGAGCAAUUGCAGGAGAUGGUGACAACUAAGAUUACUGCGAAGUCUCUUACGAAUCCUUAAAGAUGAUACUUUACAUACCACGAUAACCUGAUAACACAGAGGAACACAAUGAACAUUAAAGUGUAUUCUGACAAUGCAAAUUUGUGGAAAUUAUCAGCUGUGGUUACCUGGACAAUAUUGCCAACACCAAGCUCCUUCCUCAAUUGAAACAUAUGAUCAGCCCACAAAUGCUUUGCUUUGUAGCUUUUGAGAGCCUGAAAUUGUUUUCACAACAACAGUGAAAAUUAGGUGAAAAAAUUGAUAAUAUUAGCAUAAUUCCAUAUGUUUAUAUAGGAUAAACCGAUCAAAGUAUGAAACAAGAUAGAAAUGAUGAUCUUAGCACCUUAACAUCAUGCAAUAAUAAUCAUCAUGUCUUUCAGGCAGCUAUCCAUCCUCAAUUGAAACAGAGCAGACCCGGCCAUCACUUCCUUCUUCAAAGUCCAGCAACCAAACGUUGCACAAUAACCACAGUGAUAAUCCUUGGUUACCCCAAUGUCCUCCAUAGAGUUUUCAAAGUCAACCUGAAAAUGAAAUAAAAAUGCAAUGCAGGUAGAAAUGAAAAUUCUAUAAAUUAAAUAAAAUAAAAAUGCAAUGCUUGAGCUUGAGCUUGCUUUAACAUCAUCAUAAUAGGGAAUUUAUAUAUAUAUAUUUACUUCUCUGUUCUUGUUUAUUCACAACAAGAUAUCAAUAGAAGAAGAUGGAAAUGAAAUUCUAUAAAAAAAAAGCAAGUGAAUUACCAGCAAAACAUUUUAGCAACCCUUUGGCUAAACUAUUCAUUUUCAUAAUCUUGCUCUCCUGGGUGCAUCAUUAGAACCAAAUUAGCGUGGACCUGCGAAUUGCUAGUGUAGUUCUGACAUUUCCUCGAAUCCCUGGUGAACAUAAUUAAACUCGUAUGAAAUAAAACAAAGUGGGCUCAUGUACUACUAAAAACAAUCACACAAUUACUUUAAAGAAUUAAUGUCACAUAAAUUAUGUAUAAAAAAACACGAUUAUCAUUAUACAAGAUAACAUUGAUAAUUUAGUUUUCAACAUUACUGCAAAUGUAUCACAGAGAUUUUGUCUCUCAGGAAGUUACACAACAAAUUUUUGUGCAUUAAAAAAUAAAAUUCGUUAGGAUUUUCUAUGAUGUUGUAUGAAAUUUUACAAAAGACUACAUAUUUUUUAAAAGAAAUUAUAGAAAUUUCAACAGACUGCACUUGUUUUUUAUUUUAUUAUUAUUUUAGCUUUAGAAAACAAGUUUAACAAAUUUGAUGACUAGGAAGUUUAAAUUUUAAAUAAUUGAAAUUAAAAUAUUAUCCUAACUAACCUUUAUGAACAAUUGAUUAAAUUUAACACUACAUAUUUAUACUAUGAUUGAUUCUGUAAUUUUUAUAAUAGCAUCAUAAAGUGACCCAUUAAAUUAAUGGUGGAAGUAAAUAGUUAAAUUCAAUACGCAAAUCAAAAUAUUAGAAAAUAUUGUAUAUUCCUGUUAGACAUUGGGCAAUAUAUAGAAUUUUAAUUCAAAAUAUGAUUAUUUUUAUUAAUUUUAUUGCAAGCAACAACAGAGUAAAUCAGUGGAGGAGGAGAAAUUACCGGCGAGUGAUAUCUUACGCCGACCGCAUGAUGUGGGGAAGGUGAGAUAUCUUAUGCCUGUCUUCUCCUUCCCCUUCUCUGUAACCCCAAAUUGUCAAUGUCUGCAGUGUCGUUGUUUGAAUUUACCACUCGAUGUGGGGAAUGUGAGAUAUCCUAUGCCAGUCUUCUCCUUUCCCCUCUCUAUAACGGUUUUCCAGAAGAGGACAUCCCUGAAUACUCAAUUGCUGCAGCGUCGUCGUCCGAAGAAGGUAAUCCGGCAGCACCUUUAAUUUGGGGCAAUACUCAAUUUCCAAGGAAGAAAGACGUGGUAUGUCUGUUGUCCUGUGAUCUUCUAGAAUGGGCAGUUCUUCCAUAAUUGGACAAUAAGAAAUACUCAAUUUCUGCAGUGUCGUCGAUUGAAAAAGGUAAUCCGGCAGCACCCUUAAUCUGGGGCAAUGCCAAAUCGUCAAGGAAGAAAGACGCGGCAUGAUGGAGAUGUUUUCCUUUCUUGUAAUCCUAUAAUUCCACUCUUCCAAUUCUUCCAUUGCCCCAACGUGGAGUGAUUUUAAUUUGGGGAAGGCAAUGACUGAUGAUGAUGAUGAAGAUGAAGAUGGGUCAUCCUCACUGCUUCCUUCGAUUCCCAAAAACUCAUUACCCACUCUUUUCACACCAUACAGGCCGUAAAGGGUGAGUUUUUGCAGCGGCAAUUUUCCCAAGGGAGGAAAAUGCUCACAGAUAACGCACGAUUUAAGUCUUAAAUCCCUUAGAUUGGUUAGUGAAGUCAACCAUUUGGGAAAUAUGUUGCCUCCGUAGGAUACAAUCCCUAAUUCUUUUACAUUCAAAGGCGGUUGUAAGGCUUCCAGAAGUUGUUGAUUCUUCCUCCUCCCUUCUUCACCUUCCACGUCAAACUCAAGAGAUAAACGAAGGAGGUUUUUCAUAUUGUGAAGUCCUAAUCUCUCAGCCUCAUCUAAAUGUGACACAUUACUCAGCCCUUCUAUUCCACAUUCUCGAAGGAGUUGAAGAUUUUUCAGAGAUUCAAGCCUACACGUACUGAUAUCAUUAACACCUCCGCCCACAGCAAACUUUUCUAAUGUUCGAAGACUGGUUAAUUUGGAAAUCCCUAUUGGCAUGUACUUCAGCGAAGGAGUGCCACCAUUCAGUAAACUCCUCAUGUUCUUUAACUUCCCAAUCCCCGCCGGCAAUUCUCUAAGAUCUUCGCACCACCUAAUAUCUAGCUUUUGUAAAUUAUAUAAUUCACACAAAGUCUCAGGCAGUAUCUCUAUACAUAAUUCAGAAAAAUUAAGAUAUUUUAAAUGUAUCAAUUUUCCGACAUUUUCUGGAAUUUCUCUAAUCAAAUUUGGGUAAGGAUCAAAUAUAAAAUUCCGUUGCCCUAUAACUAAUGCCCUUAAACACGCCAAUUUACUAAAUAACUCCGAAAGGAUGCUACUAUUAAGAGACGGAUUGGAACGACUUUGGAAAUAAAUUAGGAGGGUCCGCAAUCUAUUAAGUCCAUGAAUGGACAUAGGAAAUGAAGCUCCUCCUUCAAAAUUUAACCCUAAGUGACGGACUUUAUCACCAAAAGAGUUUAUGACUGAUUCCUUGGUACCAUUAAUUUCUACCCACAAACAUUCUUUUCUACUUACAAAUUGGGCAAAAUCAUGUACUAUGUCAUGCAUCUUGCAGCUCAUAAUAUCAUCAUCAUCAUCAUCAUCAUCAUCUUUUUUAAACUCUUGAAAGAAAGAGCGUGCUGCUAAAAUAUUGAAAUACUCUUCCCCAGUCAUCUCCAUCUCUUCGUCUUCUUCUGCAUUAAGGUAACCUUGAACCAUCCAUAGUGAAAUUAGUUCCUUUUUUUUUAUAUUGUAGUCUUUCGGAAAGACAGAACAAUAUGAAAAACAUCGUUUUACCAUAGAAUUGGAGGGCAAAUCAUUAUAACUCAACAACAAUGGAGCAAAAAGGCCUUGCCCAAUCUCUUCUACUUUCCACAUUUCACUAUCUAAAAUUUUUUGCCACUCUUUUAUUGUACUUUUAGAGCGUAAGAGAUUCCCUGUUACCUUUGCAGCAAGAGGCAGGCCUUUGCACUUGCGUGCAAUUUUUCGCCCGAUUGGUUCUAAUUUUUCACAAUCCUCGAAAGAGCGACCGGAAAAUGCUAACAUCUUGAACAACAACCAACAUUCCUCUUCAGUCAAUUGCUCAAUGAAGAUAAUAUUUGUUGAUCCCAUCAUACGUGCAACUGACUCAUUACGUGUGGUAACCAAAAUUUUACUUCCAUGGAGACCAUGCUUUAGACAAUGGAAGAAUGGUUCCCAUUUAUUAUAAUCCCCAUCCCAUACAUCAUCUAAGACAAGAAAAAAAAUUUUUCCUUCAAUUGAUCUAUGGAUAUGGCUUAGAAGAGAUUGGAAUUCGCUUAAACUAGAAGUUGACUCACCUAGACCUUCAAUGAUUGCAUUGGCAACCCUAAUCUCCUCAAAAGUGUCUGAUACACACACCCAUAUAACUUUUUCAAAAUUUCUUUUCACCUCAUCAUUAUUAUAGGCCAGUUGUGCAAGAGUGGUUUUACCUACGCCCCCUAACCCAACUAGUGAGAUGACAUGAAGGCCUUUUUGUUGUUCACUACUUUCAAACAACAACUUGCUUAAGAGCUCGUUUUUCUCGUCAACUCUACCACAGACCUCUCCCUCAUCAAUCAAGGAGGUGGUUGGCGCUUGUUUCGGUUUUUUAACACGGUUACUCACAUUCUCAACAAAUUUAAACCUAUCUUUUUGGGAGGCAAUAUCAUCUAGCUUUUCAUUGAUUUCCCUAAUCUUGACAGCAAUGUCAUGACGAAGACUGAGUUGUUUGAAACUACCAAAGCAGUUUGAUACAGCAGGAAAGAAGGAACGUACCUUCUUCUUGUGAGGAGCAAGGGAAAAAGCAUUGUCAUCAUCAACGCCCUCAAUUUGCAAUUUGAGCCUUGCAAAGACCCACUCGUCCAACACAUCUUCCAUGUCGUAGGACGCGUCUUUGAGCUGAUCCAGCCAAAAAGUAACAGCUUUGUCUUGCUGCAUUUGCCUUUGCUCGGCAUCGUCCAGCACAGCUCGAAUGGCUUGAAGAUUGCUGGUAAGCUUUUUCACUUCUUCUCGGACACCAGUCACAAGCCUCACCUGUUGUUUCACUUCAUCAGCCGCAACAGAGAUCAGCUGCUCCAGGAGAGAGGAAACGAUCGCAUCAACCAUUCUGACAAAGAAGACGAGAAUUCUGAAGAGUUAUUAGAUGUGCUUUUGUUGCGAUGAUACUGAAAGAAAAGGAGUUAUUGCAUUCUUUUAUACUGCAUAGAAAAAGCUUAUGCUUAUCCCCACCCCACACGUCAAUGAUUGUAGAACGUUUAAUUUCCCUGAUUCUACUCCACUAGUUUUCAUGCGUAAUUAUAAAUAUUCUCAAGUUAUGUAUGAAAUAGCACAAAUUUGGAUCUAAUAAUGAUUUUUAUGCUUUUUGUGUGUUCACUUUUUCAUAAUCUUCUACUUUAAAAAGUGAGCACAAAAAUAAUAUCAAGCAUUAACUCAAAUUCACAAAGGAAUAAAUGACGAAAAGAAAAAAGAUUGGAGAAAUCAUAUUGGUAAAUUAGCACAUUGUUUUUUUAAUAAUCUCGAUAAAAUUAGUAAUAUUCAUAUUAGUCCCUAAAAAAUAAAUAGAUAUGACUAAAGAAAACUCUUGGUAGUCUCCACGAUCAGAAUUUAUUGAAAUAUUUUUAGCCUAGGUAAAAAAGCAAGUUCCCAACUUCACCGUUAGGUAAAUCUGAAAUCCUUUCUCGCAGACUUUUGCACAAAAUAGAGUGUGAGUACUACAUUUUACGAUCUAACAAAAUGAUUUUUAUUAUUGUAAAACUAUUAACAAUAACCUAAAAUACUUUAUCUGCAUGUUAUUUUUAUUAUUAACAAUAAACUUUUAACAACUUUUAUGCAAAGGAGUCCCCACUCUCUACCUGGGGAAUUUGGCAUUGGAUGCAAAAAUUAUGCUUAUCUUUAAUUUCCCUGAUUCUACUCCACCGAUAAACACAUGUUCUGCACUAACAUUUUUAAAUUCCCACACAUUAGGAAUUUGGCACAUAAUAAUAAAUAUUCUCAAAUUCGUCGCAUCUUUACGUAUGAGCGAGUGUUCUGUCUAUUUCACUUUUCUAUCUUACUGCAAUUUCAAGGCGGCUCAAUCAUAUUUUAGGUCUUAAAUAAAUUGAUUUAAUUAGACUUUCUAAAAAAUUUGAGGUGAAAUAUGUGUAUUAAUUUUAUUAAAGUUUUAUUUAUUUAAAAUAAAUUUCUCUACCUUUCUGAGAUGCAAAAUUAUUAAUCAACUUUUUAUAUUCUAAUUUUGCUAAUAUAUCUUUCUCAAUAGAUAAUAUAGUUAACUUAUUUAAUCUUUCCUAUGACAUGGUUGAUCUUAAAUAAUUUUUUAUCAAUAGCACGUUUUUAGAUUAAGCUAACUUUUCUAUUCUUCUCCUUUUAUGAAGUUUUUUGUAUCAUGAUGCAUAGUUUUUAGUAGACAUUUUUUUUUUCUAAGGAAACAAGAGUAAUCAUGCAAACAAUUAUGCUAGAUAAUUAAAAGCAAACAACCUAUGAGCAGAAUAAUAUUUUUACAAAAAAACAAAAACACCUAAAUAACACAAUUAAUUAAUAAGAGAAUUGGAAGAUAAAACCUGAAAAUUUGAGAAAUUUAACUUUGAUGGAUUGAGGCUUUGAGCAACAAUGAUCAAAAGAAAGUAAAACAAUUAAUUUUCUUUUCUUCCUUAUGCAAAAAGUAAGGUAGAGAAAGUAGUUUUUUCACCAAAGCAAUGAAGGUUUUGUGUUUUUUUUAUUGGAAAAAGAUAUUAAUGGAUAAUAAUUUAAAAAAGGUGUGGCCUUUAUAGAGUUUUAAAUGAAAUAAAUGGAGGAAAUAAAUGGAUUAUAAUUGUUAAUUAUAUUGUUAAAAGGGGAUUUUGUAAGAAUCUAGUAGUUUGUUUAUGGAAAAUAUAGUUAUAAAUAAUAAAUAUAAAUCAAUAAUUAAUAACUAUAAUUUAGGAAUUAAAUUAGAAACCUUCAUUUAUAAUGGGGUCCUAGGUUAAAUGUGGGGUCCUGAACAACCACCUAAAUUAUCCUAAGUUGCCUGAGGUAAGAGCCGCUCCAAACUGUAAUGUCAGGUAGAGGAAUUCAGUUCCCCCAAGGGAUGGAAACGAUGGCAUCAACCAUUUGAUGUUCGAUUUAAAUGCUAAAUUUUACAUUUGCUUUUGUUGCGAAAGUGCUCAAGGGAAAGUAGCUUUUGUGUAUUCAGUCAGAAUGCUCAUUCAAGCAUUUUUGCAUUCUUCUUAUGCUACAUGAGAUAUUUAAUUUUUACCCUUGAGUCGAUGUCAAUGUAAAUGCUUUUAUGCUGCAAAUUAAAGAAAUCCCAAUAGCCGUCACCGUCUCGGGCUAACUUUCCGCUCCACCACAACAAUAAUUGUACAACAUCUGCCCUGUUUCUCUGAUUCAUAAUAAUUAUGCAGAUUACUCAGCACCAACAUUUGUAAAUUUCUUACAUUAUAAGUAACAAAAUAUUUGUAAACUACGACAAAAACUUAAAACAAUCUACCGAUGAACCUUCUGAAGUUAUAUAUAAUAGAUUAACUUAACCUAGAAUAAUCUUAGUGCUGUAACAAUUUCAAAAUAAAUGAUGUUUUAUUAUAAAAACAUGUCCAAGUAAUUGUCCCAUAUAAAAGGUAUCUUUCCACUUAAGAAUGUAUCAUUUCAUAUUGUCAUUUCAUUUGAAAUGGUGAUGGACCAAUUUAGACAAUUGAUUAAAAUCAAAUCUUGAUCCAAUGACCAUAAAUGAAUGGGUAUCAUGAAAAAUGACAAUCCAAAUGGAGGGCACAAGUAUAUUUAUAAAUAGAGGCCAUGUUUAGUGAAAUUCUAGUUAUGCAACCCAAGAGGGGGGGUGAAUUGGGAUUCUAAAAAUUAUUCAAUUUUUAAAGCAUGCAAAUAUAAAACGAAUUUAAAGCAAUAACAAAUAAAUUUAUCACAAUAUAAAAAGAUAAGGUAAGAGAGAUUCAAACAUAAGGAUUUUUAUGUGGUUCGGCCAACCUCGCUUACGUCCACGCCUCCAAGCUUUCUGAGCUUCAGGAUUCCACUAAGCAAGCUUCCAAGACUUCAAAUGCUUACACUUGACUUCUAAGGUGUCAAUAAACCUUUACAACAAGAGAUUAUCCCCAAUCUCUUAACCCAAGUGUAUCCCAACACUUACAAUCACUCAAUUUGAUUUUAAAGAAUGUUACAAAAUAAAUUUCUCUCACACUAUGUGUUUGAUUACAAAUGAAGACUCAAAGUGUGAGUAAAUGAGAUGAAUAUAGGAAUUUAAGGCUCAAUGAAUGUUGUAUGCUCAAGACUUUGCUCAAUAAUAAUUGUUGGAAUCGUUUUAGUUUGAAUUUGAUUGAGCAUAUUUAUUGCUGGAGCUGAAAACUAGCUAUUAUUGACUUUCUGCACACUGUCGGAUCACCGUUUUAAAUAGUCAAUAUGACCGUUGGGCUGAAUUCUUAAAUUGUUGGAUCGCCGUUAUCUAGAUGUCGGAUCGUCGUUAGUGUCCAGAGACUAAUCUUCAAUUCUGUGCAAUGUCGGUUAGCCGUUAUCAAGUUGUCGGAUCACCGCUAGUGUCCAGAGGCUAAUCUUUAGUUCUAUUCGAUGUCGGCGAGCCGUUAUCAAGAUGUCGGAUAGCCGUUUUCUACAGUAACUACUACAGGGAACUAUUUUGUAAAAUAAUAGUUUGACCCCAAAACUUCAGAAAAUUAUACUAUGACCCAACACUUUAUAAAACUUGUUAAAUAGAUCCAUUUAUAGGAUUUGAAACAAUAUUUGUUAUUAUCAAAAUUCUCAAAUCUUUUUCAAUUGAAACCAUUAACAUGAGAAUAACCAAAAAUAUUUCCAUAGAAUAUAAAGUCUUUAUAAAGUGAGAGUGAUGAUUUAAAAGUAUAUGAAAAUUAUUUUGAGCUUUUAAAAGAUUAAUCAAUCUUAAUUAAAUUUGUUAUCAUCAAAAUCAAUAAUAAAGAAAUAUUUAUGUUAGCAAUCUUCCCCUUUUUGAUGAUGACAAACUGUUCAAGAAAAUAUUUGUGCAAUUUUGCUCCCCCUAAAUAUGUGCUCCCCCUAAGUAAAAUAUUUAAGGAAUUUAACUUCCCCUAAAUAUGUGCCCAUCAAUUUUUAAUCUCAUAAAAAAAAAUUUAAAUAGAACAGAUUGAAUCGAUAAAUUAUAUCAUCAAUUUUUAAUCUCAUAAAAAAAUUUUAAACAGAACAUAUUGAAUUGAUCAAUUAUCUCCCCCCUUAAUCAUAAAAAAGAAAUGAGCACAAAAAGAGUAAAAAUGAGAAGUUCAGAGAGUACCCAUGUUGGAAAAAUUUUGGCAGAAUCUCCCCUUAAAAAUGAACAUAUCCUCAACAAUACAAAUAGUUAAAACACUCCCAUAUAUACAUUCCAACUUAUCAACCAACCUCCAUUCCAACGAAUUCAAUAUAAUCAUGAACAAUAACCAAACAUGUCAUCAAAAUCAACGAAAUCAUAAAUUGUAAUACCCCACACCCGAUUUUGACCCUGUUGACCACCCUUAUAAAUUGAGAGAGAGAGAGAGAGAGAGAAAGGAAAGAGAGAAUAGAAGAGAGAGAGAGAGAGGGGAGAAACCGAACCGGAUCCAACCCGACCCGCGAGCGCGACCCGGCCGGUUCUCCCAUUUCUGGCCACCAUUCCGGUCAAGGUUGGUACCGAUUUGAAGCUUGAGAGACGAGCAACGUAUCCAUGCCGUCCUUGCCGCCGGAAAUCGAUCGGAAAGCCACCGAUCGAAGCUUUGAAGUUCCGCGGAAUCGCCGCCUCGAUUCACUGUGAUUUCGCUGGUUUCUGGUGAAGGCAUCACUUGGGUUUUGUUCCUUCGACCAUUUCCGACUAACCACUCACGUUGGGGACGUCGUUUUGUCGUUGGUCGGCCGUUGAAGGAUUCAUGACUUCGGGAGCUCGAUCUGAAGCCAUCACCGCCCGUGGGAGGUCACCACCGCCACCAUUGGACUCAGCGUGGCUUGAACUUUCAGUUCUGAGCUUCCCGUUGCCGUCGGUUGAAUUCUGGUGACCGUUGACCAGCAAGGGUAUUUCAGUAAUUUCACAAUCUAAGGGCAAUUUUGUAAUUUCAAAUUUUGUGGGUAUUUUAGUAAUUGUUGAAAUUGAGGAUAAACUUGGUAAUUUAUGAUUUUGAGGUUAAUUUGGUAAUUUUGAUAUUUGAGGGUAUUUUGGUAAUAUUGAAUUCAAGGGCAUUUUGGUAAUUUUGAUCUUUGAGGGUAAUUUCAAAAUUUCAAGAAUUAUCAGUAUUUUGAUGAUUUAUGAUUUAAAUUAAGAUUAUUUGAGGUGAAGUAUGAAAUGUGAUUAUAUUGAGGAAUUUGAGAAUAUUGGAGUAUAUGAUUAUGGUUUAAUUUUAUUCUUAUGAGAGUAUUUUUAUUUAUUUUUAGGCCGAUGAUAUCGAUGUGCAUUUGUUACUCAAGGAUACCAGGAGGUAAGUAAACUAGAUUUCCAAACGAAUCACAAUAAACAAUAUAUAUGUUUGACAUGUUUGGAAAGCCUAUUUUUAUAUAAGUACGGAUAUUGAUUUAUAUGCUCUGCCCAUGUGUUUAUACGAUAUGUUGAUAUGAUGUGUUGUUAUGUGUGUUUAUGGACAUGGGCAUACGUAUGUGUGAAUAUUUCAUUGGCAUGAGCACGAAAUGCAUUAUGUUUUCUAUAAAAUGAGAAAGUGAAUUUUAGCCAAAUGGAAUUUGUAGAAAGAAAGAUUGUUUUACAGUUUUAGCUUGGAUGCUUGAAUUCGUUAUUGGCUUAGUGGAAGACACUCUAGAUGUUUAUAUAGUUAUGAGAUAAGUGGGCGAAGGACGCAUUGGCGAGAAGCCCAAAGAGUAUGAAAGUUAUGAAAAUUAUGAAAGUUAAGGGAGUGUCCUACUAAGCGGUAAUCGAAUAAAGGUAGCUCAAGUAAGUGGUUUGAAAGAGAAUGUGAAAGUUUGAGAAAGACAUAAUGAGAUUUCAAUUAUUUUUUUUACGAUGUUUUCGAAUAUCAUGGCACGUCAUUCAUUUGCACUAUCUAUAUGUAUGUAUGUAUUUUGGUAUAUGCAAAACUAGUUUACUUAUUGAGUUUCGUACUCAUUAUAGUUUAUUGUGAUUCAGUUUCCGUAAAUCAGGAUUGAUUCGUGAUGAUCGUCGAGAAGGACUUGAAUGGAGGAAUUAGAUGGUUUGGCAUGAAUUUUAAAUUCUUCCGCUGCAGUUUACGUUUUAUAUUUGUAUUUUCAAGGAUAUAAUUUUUAUGGAUUGUAAAAGGAUUAUUAUUAUUUAUUAUUAUUUUAUUUUUAAGCAUCUAUCAGUAAGAUUCGCCCUGUGGAGGUCGGGGUGGGUCGUUGCAUAAAUAAAAUUCACAUAUCCAAUAAAAACAUCAUAAAAGCAUCACAAGAACAAUAAAAAAAAAACAAAAAGUACCACAACAAACUACAUGAAAUGAGUAAUGUUUGUGCGAAAAUCAUAGGGGCAGAAAAUUAAGAUGGGGGCGGUGAAGAGGAACUUCCGGGAUCAUAGCCAAGGCGACCAAGAAUACGGCACUGUCCAGCAAGUAACUUCAUCUGCUGAUUUAAUAUCUGCCGCCGAAAAGUCACAAAAUCAGAUUGAAGCUGCUGCUGCUACUGGGAGAGUGUAUCCAUCUUGUCGAAGAGCUGCUAAAAGCGGUCCUCAGAAGCAGAAGAUGCUGCAAGAGGGAUGGCUGGCUCAGUUGGCUUGUCAUCCGAAGAGGAAGCUGCUGCGGAUGCUGCUGCUGUUGCUCGGCGAGGGGCACGCGGUCUAGCCCUAAGGCGGAAGUCGGGUAACUCACCCUUGAAAUAGACAUCAUUUAGCAUGCUAUCAUCCUCUGGAGCAAUAAAAGUGUCUUCAUUCUUAGAGGAUGUUGUCUUUUCCCACUUCCCAUUCUUCUUAAAAAAUCCGAUCGCAGACAUAAUCUCUCGACCGAGCUUUCGGGUCUCGAGAUAAACAGGCUUAGUGGUUAAUGGGCCAAGAGUGAAGCACUAUAUGGGAGAUGAGGUGAACAGCCUAAUGAAGGAUCGGUUCUUAAAGGAUCGAGGUUGAGGAAACAAGAAAGGUCAGGCUUAAAGACCUAAAAUCAAGCGCUAAUUGGGAGGCAACCCAAUAAGGGAAGUUGUUUUAACUUUUUAAAGCAUUAAAUUUAGUUUUUAAAUUAUUGAAUUUGUCUUGCUGUUAUUUUAAGUGUGCAUCCAAUUUUUUAUGUCUUUGUGUUAAAUUGCAGCAGGUAAAAAAAAAACAAAAAAAUGCGAAAAAAAGAGUAGCAAAGAAUUACUGCAGCAUCACUUACAGCAUGACAUAUAACAGAAGAUUCUCAAACAAUAGAGGCAUUUCUUGCUUUUGCAGCAGUAAAUGGAUUGAUCAGAUUUUAUGAUAAGGAGCGUUUGAGAAGUAUAUUAAAGAAAAAGUGACCUUUUACAGCCUAUGCUGCAACAGUGCUUCCAGUAACCGGGCAGUACCCCUAACCGCUAGUUUAUUUUACUUCUUGCUGCAAAACUUUUCUUUCAUUUAGUUUUAAUUUUCUAAUUCAUUCUGCAUGUCCUUUUAUUUAGUGUAUACAUGUCUGGUUUAUGUGGUUUUGUUUUGUGUGCUUGUGAGGACACAACAUCACUCAAGUUUGGGGGGGUUAUGUUUCUGAGUGCAUGUAUUUAUGCUUGUGUUGUAUGAAGCUUUGUUAUCUAAUAUUUGUGUAUGAAUUUGAAAACCUAAUGAAGAUAAAUUGAGUGCUAUUCAGUAUUUAUGAGAAAGCGAAGUAGAGAUAGUUAUAGAUGGGGGUUGAACUUCUGUCCCGACACUUAGACUUUGGUUGAGUUUUACGAGAAUGCAGUAGCAGAGCCAGGAAAACGAAAAAAGAGUAGAAAAUAUCUAAAGUUUGGGGGAAAAUUUUUGUUGAACUGUGCUUGUUAUGAAAUAAAUUUUGCUCCAAUGGCUUAAGUUGUUGAGUAACCAAGGUUGAGUGUGUACCCCAUAUGCAAACUUGAGUCCAAAGGUAGAAAGAGUUAUGAGCAAUGCUGCAGCAAUUAUAUAUUGAAACAAAAGAAAAAAUGGUGAUGAAGGAAUGAAAAAUAAAGAGGUCCGCUGUCUAGGAUACUGAGUAAUUUGGUCUGUUCAUGAGCCCCAUGUUCAGCCUUGAGUCAAAGGCGUCCAAAGGCAAGACCUAGAUAUAACAUCCUAAAUGUGUUGCUGCAGUAACUCUGACAUGUACUUUGAGUGAGUAAUUGGGUGUCGUCAUUACAAGUGAUGGGCACUCACAUGAAAGCUCAAUGUUGCAUUGAAGGGUUUAACUGAAAAAAAAAGUAUUAUUAUUGUAGCACAGUUUGAGUUUAUUUCUGAAUUUUACUCCCUCAUAUGUGAAUAUAUUUGUGUUCUAUCUCUGAAUUAUAUGCCUGUGUAAUGUUGUAGCACCUCUGAAACUUGAUCAAAGUGGCACACACACACUCUGCACAGAAUGAAGCCUAGUUCGAGAACUAAACUAUUAUGGUUAUUUUGCGUGAUUAAGAAUGUGAUAUGAGGGUUGAAGAAUCCUUACAAAUUUGAUGACAGAGCUAAGUUAUUUGUUGAAUGAUUGUGUGAUUGAAGUGUUAGUGUUAUUGUCAUUACUUGAGGACAAGUAAUGGUUUAAGUUUGGGUGUGUGAUAACUCUAUAAAAUGAGAGUUAUUAUGGCACUUUUAGACUUAAAUCAAUAUGGUUUAAAGAGUAAAUGAUGUGUUUCUAUUGUAUUUUGUUACAUUUUGCAUAAAUAUUCAUUUUAAUUUAGUCUUAAUAAGUUUUGCUCGAUUUAAAGUAAUUUGUGCUCAAAUUGUGUGCAAAAUUGUAGGUUUCCAGAAGUUUAUAAUUCAUGGAAGGAAUGCUAUGCAAUAAGGUUGCAAAAAUAAGGAAAGAACAUGGCUAAAAAAGAGUUGAAACAAAUCUGAAACAAUGCAGUUGCUGUAGAUAUUGCUGUAGCAACCAUUGCUGUAGCAAUCCUGGAACAACGACAGAGAAAAUUUCGCGCGGGAUACUUGCAGAAUUGCGAUCUGCAGUUUCCUAAUCAGACUUAUGCGCGCCCUAGGGUUCCGUUUACCCUAAUUUUCAACUAUAAAAGAAGCACACAUCAUAAGGAAAAGAGGGAGCCGUCACCCAAGGAGAAAAACACAAAGAAACAAAAGAAAAACAAGAUUCAAGAGAGAAAUUAAGGGCUGCACAAGAGGAGAAUUUACAGAAAUCAAUUGGGAGCUCAAUCCUUCUUAUUCUUCUCUUGUUUUCGUGUUUUCUAUUUAUACAUGGGGAUGCAUUUCAUGACUGAAACUUUGUUCUUUAUUUUUUUUUUUUUUUGCAAACCAUGAACUAAAUUUAUUUGUGGUUGAGUGAUAAACAAUCUUGAUGGUUUAUUGAUUGAAUACAUGUGUUGUUGCAUGUUUACUGUAGCAGUUUGUUUUGAUAGUAUUUAUUUUUAUUCAUUAUUUCGGUUGAUCACCCAUUUAAUAAUACAAGUUAGGAGAGAGCCGCAAAAGGGCCUAUCUUAGUGGAACAUAUCAGAGCAAUACUUGGUUUAGAUUGAGUUUCCUGGAUUGAGUUUAACUUAUUCCAAAAGGGCCAUGCUUCAUUUAAAAUUAGUGAUGAACUAGACAUAUGGAUUCACCUUGUAGGGUGAAUAGAAUCUAAGCGUGUAAUACUAUAUCUUAUGUUGGCAUAACAACUGAUCACUGUUAGGUUACAUAUAGAUAUAAGAUAUCCAACAUGCGACAGCUGAGGAUACAUAAGGAUUCUGCCCAGUGUUGUAGCAAAUACUGCAGCAACCGAGCCAACCAUUAGAAAAUAGUCAAGACCAUUAGGAGAGUUUAGUCACUCAACUACUAUAUAUUUCCAUUAGUUUUAUCAUUGAGCUUGAUGUGAUAGUUUACUUUGUUGCAUUUAUUUAUUGUGUUUUUAUUUUAAUUAGUACAUUAGUUUCAUUAAUUGUUUAUUUUAUUUUAGCACAAAAUCUGCACUGUUAAGAUUGUUGUAGCAAAUCUGAUAACAUCAAUCCUUGUGGAGACGAUCUUGAAUACUCAUCACUUUAUUACUUGUUGUGUACACUUACACAUUGACACCAAUAGCAUUAGUAUUUAUACACCAACAGUACCUAUGACAGAUUGAUGUUCCGGUUUAGGAACUAAUUCCCACACAUUGUUUCUUUUAAAUUGAUUUAACUCCUCUUGUAUUGUCAUAAUCUAAGAUUCAUCAUUUUCCGCAUCCUCAAAGGAUUUGGGUUCAAUUUGAGAAAUAAAUGCAUUAUGCUCACAAGUAUUCCUAAGUGAUGAUCUAGUUGUAAUACCUCGUGAGGGAUCUCCUAAAAUUACAUUCUUAAGGUGAGAAGAAACAUACCUCCACUCUUUUGGGAGUGAUUGAAAAGUACCUUCAUUUUACUCUACAUUUGUUUCUUUAUGUUGCUCAUCUUGAUUCCCAUGAGACGCAUCCUUUUGGUUAUCUUUUGAUGACUCUUUUUGUAAGUCUUCAUCUGCAUCAUUAUCAACAACAACUUUCUCCGUAGAGGAGGGGUUAGAUUCAUCAAAUAUAACAUGCAUCGAUUCUUCUACAACUAGAGUUCUUUUGUUAUAAACUCUAUAAGCUUCACUUGAGUUUGAAUAUCCAAGAAAAAUACCAACAUCGGAUUUUGAAUCAAAUUUGCCAAGAUUAUCUUUUGUGUUCAAAAUAAAACAUUUGCAUCCAAAAACUUUGAAAUAACCAAUAUUGGGUUUUCUAUCUUUCCAAAGCUCAUAUGGAGUUUUAUUAAGAUUAGGUCUAAUCAACACAUGAUUUAAAACAUAACAAACGGUGUUGACGGCCUCGGCCCAAAAAUACUUAAGCAAGGAAUUUUCAUUCAACAUAGUCCUAUCCAUUUCUUAAAUUGACAUAUUCUUUCUCUCAACAACUCCAUUUUGUUGUGGAAUUCUAGGUGAUGAAAAUUGAUGCACAAUGCCUAGAUUAUUGCAAAAGGUUUCAAAUGCAUAGUUUUCAAACUCUCCUCCAUGAUCACUUCUAAUGCAUGCAAUACCAUACCCUUUUUCAUUUUGAAUUUUCUUACAAAGUACUUUAAAAGCAUCAAGAGCAUCAUCCUUAUUAAUUAAGAAUAAUACCCAAGUGUAUCUUGAAAAAUCAUCAACAAUUACAAAAGCGUAAUAUUUUCCAUUCAAGCUAGCAUACCUUGAAGGUCCAAAUAAAUCUAUAUGAAGUAAUUGAAGCGGUUUUGAAGUAGAAAUAUAAUUUUUACUUUUAAAAGAGGUUUUGAUUUGUUUACCAAAUUGGUAUGCUUCACAAAUUUUAUCUUUUUGAAAACCAAUUUUUGGAAGACCUUCAACUAAAUCAUUUUUGGAAAUCUUUGAAAUUAAAUCCAUGCUUGCAUGUCCUAGUCUUCUAUGCCAUAACCAACUAUCAUCAUGCAAUGCCGAAAAACAUUUAUCAUUAGUGGAUGCACAUUCUAUGUCAAUGGUAUAAACAUUACCACAUCUAUUUCUAAUAAAUAAAAUCUUGUUAUCACAUGCAUUCUCAAUAAUACAUUUAGAUUUAUCAAAAGUAAUUUUAUAACCUUUGUCACACAAUUGACUAAUAUUAAUCAAAUUGUGUUUCAAGUUUUCAACUAAACAUACAUUUUCAAUUAAAGUUGACGAAAUUUUACCGACAUUUCCAACUUCGAGAAUCUUUCCUUUUGAGUUAUCUCCAAAAGAAACAUCUCCACCAUUUUUGAUUGUGGUGAAACUUGAAAACCAUGCAUAGUUUCUGGUCAUGUGCCUUGAGCAACCACUAUCCAAGAACCACUUAUUUUUCUUUUUCUUUAAUCCCUGCAGAAAAAGUUUCUAAGUUUUAGGUACCCAAAACUUCUUGGGUCCUUGUAUGUUAGCAAUGGUUCCUUUUGGAACCCAAAUACAUUUCACACCAUAAUAUGCAUUUCUUUUUACUGGACAUCUAUUUUUCAUGUGUCCAUCUUGAUUACAAUGAUGACAUACAAUUUGAUUGUUAAUAGAAGUACUUUUCACAAAGUAGUUUUUAUAAUAUUUUUGUUUUAAGUUUGGCUUAUAUCCAAUACCUCCUUUAUCAAACACACAUUUUUGUGAAUUGAGCAUGUUUUCCAACAUCUUUUGUCCAUUUGUAAACUUUAGCACAAUUUCAUUUAGUUCAUUAUUUUUCUUCUUAAGCACUUCAUUCUCUUUCAUUAACUCAUCCACAUGUGAUUUUUCAUGUUCAUAAGUGCUUUGUUUACCUUUAAGAGCUAAAGUUUUAUCAUGCAACAUUUUAUUCUCUAAUUCUAAUUCUUUUAUCUUCUCAUUAUUGCAUUUUUCCAGGGCAUCUUUUUCAUUUGUAAGUUCUAGCAUUUUCAUUUUAAGGCAUGCAUUCUUUUUACCAAUUUUCAUCAACUCAUCAUGUAAUUCUUUAAAAGCAUCAUACAACUCAUCAUAGGUAGGAUCACUUACCUCAUUGAGAUCAUCAUCAUCUCCUAUUGCCAUAAGUGUUAGGUUUGAUGCUUCAUGCAAUUCAUCUUCAUCACUUGAAUCUUCAUCGCUAUCAUCCUAAGUAGCAACCAUGGCUUUCUUCUUGAAUUUGUUGAGAAGUGGGCAUUCCGAUCUUAUAUGGCCGGGCUUUUAGCAUUCAUAGCAUAUGAUUGCCUCUUUCUUCUCCUUUUGAUUCUUGAAGUUUCUAAAUCUUCUUCGCUCACCGGUUUUCUUGAAGAAUUUUCUAAACCUCAUUUCUAGCAUGGCCAACUCCUCAUCAUCCGGUUCACUUUGCUCAUCACUCUCAAAUUUUGAAGCUUUGAGAACAAUACUUUUCCCUUUUUUCGGCUGCUAAGUCUUCUUCAUAUGAAAUAAAAGAGCCAAUUAAAUCAUCAAGAGGUAAAGUAUUUAAAUUUUUGGCCUCUUAAAUAGCAGUCCUCUUAGGUCUCCAUUCCUUAGGAAGUGACCUAAUGAUUUUCUUUACUUUCUCACUAUUUGAGAAAACUUUUCCCAAAGCUCCUAGGGUGUUCACCAUGUCCGUAAAUCUAGUAUACAUAGAAUACACAUUUUUAUUUUGUUCCAUUUGGAAUAAUUCAUAUUGACGAGUGUAUCUACUAAUUUUAAUCUCUUUAACUUGAUUUGUCCCUUCAUAAACAACUUCAAGUUUAUUCCAUAUUUCUUGUGCACUUUCACAACUAGAUACUCUAUGGAAUUCUUUCUUAUCAAGAGCACAAAACAAGGCAUUCAUUGCCUUGGAGUUUAAGGACAUCUUUCUCUUUUCUAACUCACUCCAUUGACUUGAUGGUUUAGGAAUAUCAUCUCCUUCAUUUUUAAACAUAGGCAUGAAUGGACCAUCAUAAACAACUUCCCAAAUUUCAUAAUCUAAAACUUGUAAAUAGAUUCUCAUCCUAGUUUUCCAAUAUGCAUAGUCAUUACCAUCAAAGAACGGUGGUCCAGUUGUGGAUUGUCCUUCUCUAAAGGUUGAGUCAUUUAGGGUUGCCAUUGAUCUUUUACUCUAGAUGAUUACGUCCUAACAAGAGAAUAAGGCUCUAAUACCAAAUGAAAUUCUAGUAAUGCAACCCAAGAGGGGGGUGAAUUGGGAUUCUAAAAAUUAUACAAUUUUUAAAGCAAAACUCAAUGCAAAUAUAAAACGAAUUUAAAGCAAUAACAAAUAAAUUUAUCACAAUAUAAAAAGAUAAGGUAAGAGAGAUUCAAACAUGAGGAUUUUUACGUGGUUUGGCCAACCUCGCCCACGUCCACGCCUCCAAGCUUUCCGGGCUUGAGGAUUCCGCUAAGCAAGCCACCAAGGCUUCAAAUGCUUACACUUGACUCCUAAGAUGUCAAUAAACCUUUACAACAAGAGAUUAUCCCCAAUCUCUUAACCCAAGUGUAUCCCAACACUUACAAUCACUCAAUUUGAUUUUAAAGAAUGUUACAAAAUAAAUUUCUCUCACACUGUGUUUGAUUACAAAUGAAGAUUCAAAGUGUGAGUAAAUGAGAUGAAUACAAGAAUUUAAGGCUCAAUGAAUGUUGUAUGCUCAAGACUUUAUUCAAUAAUAAUUGUUGCAAUCGUUUUAGUUUGAAUUUGAUUGAGCUUAUUUAUUGUUGGAGCUGAAAACUAGCCGUUAUUGACUUUCUGCACACUGUCGGAUUGCCGUUAUCUAGAUGUCGGAUCGCUGUUUUAAAUAGUCAAUAUGACCGUUGGGCUGAAUUUUCAAAUUGUCGGAUUGUCGUUAUAUCUAGAUGUUGAUCGCCGUUAGUGUCCAGAGACUAAUCUUCAAUUCUGUGCAAUGUCGGUUAGCCGUUAUCAAGUUGUCGGAUUGCCGUUAGUGUCCGGAGGCUAAUCUUCAGUUCUGUUCGAUGUCGGCGAGCCAUUAUCAAGAUGUCGGAUCGUCAUUUUCUACAGUAACUACUACAAUGAACUAUUUUACAAAAUAAUAGUUUGACCCCAAAACUUCAUAAAAUUAUACUAUGACCCAACACUUUAUAAAACUUGUCAAAUAGAUCCAUUUACAAGAUUUGAAACAAUAUUUAUAUCAAAAUUCUCAAAGCUUUUUCAAUUGAAACCAUUAACAUGAGAAUAACCAAAAAUAUUUCCAUAAAAUAUAAAGUCUUUAUAAAGUGAGAGUGAUGAUUUAAAAGUAUAUGAAAAUUAUUUUGAGCUUUUAAAAGAUUAAUCAAUCUUAAUCAAGUUUGUUAUCAUCAAAAUCAAUAGUAAAAAAAUAUUUAUGGUCACAACUUUUAUACGUUGGCAAAAAAUAUUACAUUUCUUGUUGACAAGCCUCAAUGUUGUUAAUGUUCUUACAAUAUCAAAGCCUGAAGAACGUGAGAAUGAGAAACUCGAGUGUGGCAAAAGUGGAAGCAAGAUGUCUACGUGUGCAUAAGACACAUUUACAAUGCCGUGUCUAGUACUUUGUUUUCAUAAGUACCACAACAAAAUCCACUGCAAAAGAAAUAUAAGACUUAUUGGAGUCUAAGUACAUGAUGGAAGACACCACAAGUAAGAAAUUCUUGACUUCUAAUUUUUUUUAGUUUUAAAAAGAUUGACAAUAGACUUGUGAUGGAACAAUAUAAUGAGAUUUUUUGCAUUCUUGAUCAAUUCAACCAACACAACAUGAAAAGUAAUAAGUUUAUUAUUAUUUCUUCAAUUAUUGAUAAACUUCCCCCCUCUUGAAAAGACCAUGAAAAAAGUCUUAAAUAUAACAAAGAGGAAGUUAGCCUGGAAGGCUUGGCAAAGUCUUCAUAUUGAAUAGAAACUUAAACUUAAUAGUCUUGAGGAACAGACUGCUAUGUCCUCUGAAAUUAAUGUUGUGGAGGAGGAGAAGGAGCUUAAGCAGUCUAAUACCCGCAUUAAUAACAAAAGCAAAAAUUUGAUUCGAAAUAGAAUCAAACCAACAAAAUAAAAAAAUAAAAAAAGAAGUGUACAUGCCACCAAUGUGAAAAGCCUAGCCACUUUAAAAAAGACUGACAAAGCAAAAGUUUGAUUCCAAAUAGAAUCAAACCAAUAGAAUAAAAAAAGAAGUGUACAUGUGACCAAUGUGAAAAGCCUAGCCACUUUAAAAAUGACUGUCAGCUUCUUAAGAAAGAAAAGAAGUGCUCGAACACAAAUUUUGUGGACAAAAUUUAUGGCCAUAAUAUCUUAGAUUAAUAUUCUCGAACAUGAUAAUGCAUGGUGAAUAGAUUCCGGUGCAAUCAAGUAUGUGUACAAGAAUCGUAGGCUUUUCACAUCUUACAAAGCAAUGGAUGAUUGAAGUGUUCUUUAGAUGGGAAAUUCCUCCAUUGCAACAAUUAGAGGGAAUGUGCAACUAGAGUUCACUUGUGGAAAAAUGUUAACUCAUAUUGAUGUUUAUCAUGUAUCUAAAGGUAGGAAAAAUCUUGUAUCUAUAUUAGGGUGGUACCGUAUUUGAGUCAAAGCAAUUUUGCAUUGUUUAAGGGUGGUACCUUUAUUGGGAAAGGAUACAUGUAUUUGGGAAUGUUCAAGCUCAAUAUUAAUAAAAUUAAUGUUUCUUCUUCUUACAUGAUUGACUCAUUAUCUUUGUAGCAUAUUCAUUUAGGACAUGUGAAUAUUAAAAGAUUGCAUGUUAUAGCUAAUUUAGAAUUAAUUUUUAAACAUGGAAAUAAUGAUACUACAUCACUCUCUUCUCAACCCUCUUUCCUGAAACAAAUUUUAUUGUAUAACAUCUAUACUAUAUCCAUCAAAUAUCUAAUAUAUUGUUUACUAUAGGAAUAAUAUAUUGAUUCUCGAAAAGCUUGCAACAUUCAAAAGUAUUCAAGUUUGCUUUCAUCGAUGAAAAACACAUGCAAACAAAUAAGUGAUUCAUUGUAUCCUGGAGGUAUAUAUGUUUAGCCUAUAUGCAUCACUUAAUUGGUGGGACAAAUGAUAUCUUUAGGAAAGCGACAUUUGUAAUGUGCCUUGAAGUACACAUUAAUUUUCUACAAUUUACCUAUUACUAUGAUUUUAUUAUACUCAGGGACGUAGCUGUUGUGCAAAUUUUAAUGUACUCGCAAGCGCACGAAUCUAUCGUAGUAUAGACUAAUGGUGACGAGUGUCGAUCCCACGAGGAGGUGGAUUUUAAUUAUAUGUAGAAUUAAUUUUGUAAAUGGGUGGUUGGAAUUGUGGUGGAAGUGAUUUAAAUUAUCCUAAAAUUGGAAUUGAAAUGGCGAUAAUAAAUUCUAAAAUUGGAAUUGCAAUGACGAGAGUAAAUUGAAGAGAAAUCUAUUGAAAUAACGUACUUGGGUAUCUGGAUCCGUAUCAACAUGCAUCAUGGGCUAAAUAAUCUGUAUUAAUGCCAAUUAAAUCAUGAGGGGGGAAUCCACACCUCAUGAACCACGCUCUAAUCAAUAUGGUGCUAAGGGCUUAUCGUGCCAAAUAAUAAUAACCUUAUACUAGAGAGCCGGUGUAACCAAGGCGGUAUCUAGACAAGAUCAGUAUUAUUUGUCAACGAUAAGUCAAAUCAUCCACAAAAACUAGAGGGGAAAAGAAAAUAAAUUUACCAAAUAAAGCCCAUGACACAUGUUGAGACUUCACCUUCAACCCAAGCUUGAAAGCAAACUAGCCACUCAUAAUUGAACUAGGGGCAAAAUAGGAAUUUAUUAAAAUACAAAGAAAAUACAAGAUGGAGAGAGAAUUACAGAAAAUGGAUCCCAAAAAUGGAUUCAGAGAUAUCCAAUUAGGGGGAGAGGCCCCCUUUUUAUAGAUACAUGGAGUAAAUCAUGGCCAUCGGAUUAAAAACAGUUUAGACGCUCAGGAUUGUGCCACGUCAUCAGUCAACAGUCCACGGUUUGACCACGCGGAUGAACAGUAACACGGUUUGACCGGACUUUGAACAGUAACGCGGUUUGACCCGGAUGAACAGUAACGCGGUUUGAUUGAAAAUAAUCCUGUGUGAUGCAUGUACCGUACGCGAGAUUUUUCAUCCACUGAUAUGCUGCCACGUCACCAUCAACAGUACAUAAGAAUUUUAGCCCAACAGGAUCGUGACACCUCAUCAGUCAAUGCCACAUCAUCGGUCAAUGCCACGUCAUCGAUCCGUCUAUGUGAACAGUGUUGUGAACAGUAACGUAGUUAGUACCGUACACGUGAAUAGUACCGUACAUAUGAAUAGUGCCAUUUUUCCUUUUAUGCUCCUCUUAAGGUUUUCGACUGUCCUGAGUUCAAAAGUGAUGUCCGUUUUGCCGUCUGAUCUCUCCUUUAUUGUGAAAUGACUAUAAUGCCCCUAAAAUACAUAAAUUACUUAAUUAAAAUAAAACACACGUAAUUAAAUCACAAGAAUGUUAAAUACAUAAAAGUAACGGUUGUUAGUAAGACUUGAAAUGUAAAAUGACGGUUUUCUCCUUUAUAAAUAUGCAUUUUAUAACACUCAACACACCCCCCAACCAGCUUAUUGUUAGUCCCUAGCAAAUAAAGCGAAAACAAAAUUCAAAUUCAAAAUGAUUUUUUUUUUUUUUUUGAAACACUCGUAUUUAUUCAAUCAUAUUAAUGAUAGCAAUCAAAUAAAAGUAUAAGCAUUAUCUCCAGUCUAAAGCAACAUCACACCCACAUCAACCAUCCACAUGAAUCGGCCCAGUAGACUUUGUUAUAGCUACUUUCAAGAAUGACAUGUCAAACCCCAAAAUCUCACUGGAAGUAGUGACACUCUCACAAAGAAAUUAAAACCCAAUAAACAUAGUCACUCCAAUGAAUGGUAAUUGAGAAAGAAAAUAAUAAAGAAAUGAUAUCACAUGCUCUCACCAAGAUGAAAUAAAUAUGCCCUCAGCUUAGAAAUAAUACGAUCUCAAGUCAAAUAAAAUGUUAGUCAACCCACUUUAUUUAUCUUUUUUUUUUUUUUUUUUAUGCAUCACUACAUCUUUUUAGCCCAUAUAACUAGCUUCUACUUCAAACUAUAGUUCCCUAAAAUCAAGAAGGACUUUUAUUAGGACGUAACGUAGGCUAGGGAUAUGGCUAACAAAGAAAGGAAAUAAGGAAAACAAAGUGUAUGUUUGAGAAAAAUGCAGAAUUUUUUUUUUUUUUUUUUUUUUUUGGAAGUUGCAAGGUGGAUUUCACCUAUUAUUGUUAUUUUUAUUCUUUUGAAACAACAACUUUUGUUUUGUUUUUUUUUUCUUUUUGCUUUUAUUUGGCAUAACUUCACUGAACAACAUAAUUAUUUACAUUUUCUCAAACAUAAAUAGGUGAUGGAACUUAAAAGACAUUGGGUAAUACUCCAAAUCGGAGUGGGUCAAGAUGAUAAGUUGACAAAGAAAAGGUUUUUGUUCUUUUUUUUUUUUUUUUUUUUUAAAGGCUCAAAAGGGGUAACUAUGGAUAUUUAAUAAAAUGGAUGGCUAGAAAGGCUCAAACGGAUCAAAGAUGGCCUUUCCAUCGUCUUCUAGGGCUCUAAAUAAUUAUCCAUAUCUACUAGUUAGAUGGGCCUCCCAAUGUAGCAACACACAUUUUUUUCUUUUUCUUUUUUUCUUUUUUUUUAAUUUUACCAUUUUUUUUUAAAGGGUUAACUUAAAAGAAAUCUAGAGAUCGUGUAUAAAAUAAUAAACUGCUAAGCUGUAUAGAGAAUGGGCAAAAGGGUUACUCUCCAAGAAAAUGAUAGGCUCAACAACUCACUUGGCACUUAUUUAUGACAUGUUCAUUCCUUCAAGCAACUCAUAUUUGUCUCCGACAUCAACAUGUAAAGUAGCAAACAUAGCGUAACAUCACUUAAGUCCAAAGAUAAUACAAAUACUAAAAUUUGAAAUUAAUCAUGUCAUCCAAUGUUAAAACAAAUAACACAAUUUUUUUUUUUUUUUUAAACAACAUUCUACCCCCCAACCUAUUCUAAGCAUGAAAGGAAAAUAUGCAUGCAGAAAUGUGAAAAUGAUGCAUAAAAACUAAUUAGAAAAGUUACACGUAAAAUGAUAGAAAACGAAAAUGAUUUUUUUUUUUUUUAAAGAAGAUGCGUUUCUAGAGGAACUACACUCCAUAUUCAGCCAUCUUCGACUCAAAAGUUGGAAAAUGUAUAUUUAUAGAGGAGAAAUUAAAAAGAAGAAAAAUAAACAUAAACACAUAAUAAAGAAAAAGAAAAUGUCUGAAAUUUUUUUUUUCUUUUUUUUUUUUAGUUAUUUUUUUAUUAUUAUUUUUUUUAAACGAUGAAGAUGCGUUUCUAGAGUCACUACACUCCAUAUUCAGCCAUCUUCAACACAAAAAGUUAGCAACAGUUAGUUUCUACAACAAAAAAUUAGUAAAAACUUAACCAAAAUUUCACAAUUGUCGACUAUUCCCUCCCCCCAACCAGAACGAAACAUUGUCCUCAAUGUUUUAAAGGAAAGAAGUAGAGUUUAGAAGACAUCACCUGGGUGGUGCAACACAGAAGAAAAUAUUUACAGGCGGAGAGUUAAAUCUAAUUUGUACUUCUUACUGCGGCUACUGUUAUCAUCAUUAUUUGGUCGCUCCAACACAAAGGUCCAGGGGUCUGGCUCCGGUUUAUAAGCUUGUAACAUAUCAAGUAGCUCAUUAGCAGUGUGAGCACAAAUAAAGAGUUUUUUCACAUUAGAAGGAAUGAAAUAGUUUUUUAUUGCAUGGUUAAGAAAUGCGAUAAAGCCAUCAUAAAAGUUAUUGACAUUUAACAAACCGAUGGGUUUCUGGUGAAUGUGUAGAUGGGCCCAAGAUGCUAGUGUCAUAAGUGCCUCUAGUGUUGCAAGAUCUCCUGGAAGGAAAAUAAAAGCAUCAGCAUGAUUAAGCAUUUCAGUUAUUCUUUCUUGCAUACCUGAGACGACUAACUCUUCUCCAGUUGAUGAGUCAGACGAACUGCCCAAUGGUUUUAGGACUCUUGGGAUGAUGCCUAACACUUGACUUCCUCUGAUAAAAGCUGCUUCUGAGACCAUUUUUGAUAACCCCCGGUUACCUCCUCCAUACACCAAAUGUAAUUUUCUCGCUGCUAUGCUUCGACCAAGAUCUAUGGCUGCCUCCACGAACUCUUUAUGUUUGCCAUAGGUAAAUCCAGAAAGCACACAAAUGUUCUUGAAUUGUCUAUUGGGAGUAGCUGCCAUUGUGAUACUUCUCAAAAAUAAUUUGUGAGUGCUUGACAAAAAGUAAAUCACAUUUAAGAAUCUUGGUGACAGUGGAUCACAGCUGUGAAUGAGGUAACAUGUCAGUGUCAAAUAACGCGUAAAGCACGUGGCUCGCGAGUCAAAAAGGAAAUAGUAAAAAGGAAACAGCAAACAGUAACCAAAUUAUUAAAGACAAUAAUGCAAACAAUAAAAAAACAGUGAAAUGAAAUAAAAUAACAGUAAAGUAAAAGGAUAUUUACACGUAGUUGCGACUGUGGCUCACAUCUUCCUCUGGUUUUACGUCCAGAAACGGCUUGAACGCCCUCUAUGGGUCGAGGAUGGGCUUCCCAUCCAGUUUUCUUAUAAACUGGCAAACAGGGUCGUUUAUAGUCAGAUUCCCGAGACUAUAUUGUGCAUGCUCUUUCUGGAAUAAUGGUCAUAACCGGAGAAUCGCUCCUUGCACAUAUCCACUGGGAUGCGUUUCAAGAGACAAAAGGAUAUCAUCCAAUGACUCCUUAUUCAAGCCAUCCCUAAUGAAUUGAAUCUUAUCUUCCCUGUUAUCAGACAUCAUUCCUAAAGAACAUGGGUUUUUAUUGCAACUCAUUCUGGCACACUUAUGACAAGCAACAGAAAUUCUUCGAGCUAGUCAUUUUCUUGCAUAAUUUCCUUUACCACAACCAGGCAUGUAUGCAAUAAAUUUUGGAGGUAACUCACCUGCCGAUCGUACUUUAGCCUCGAUUAACCAACGGAUGUCAGCAGGUAUGUUAUUCCUCAUGAGCAAUCGGAUGCGUUCAGACCGGGCUUUAUAGAUUGUAAGGAGGGCAUUCUGAGGAAGUGAAGGGAAUCGCUUGUGAAGUUUCGCUAGAAUCUCGUUUCUGUCCAUACCUUCGCCUCAGAAUAUCAGUUAUUAUGGGAAACUGAAGUAACCGACUUGAUUGUCACGGAGUACCGUUAUCCGCCACUUCACCAGGGUAACAAACUAAAGCACACAAACAGAAAAACAAAUUAAAACACACAAAGAAAAUUAAAAUCGUCCUCUUAUUGAAUUUACCUCAAGCUCCAACUAGAUGUCGUAAACACUUCUCUCAAUAUCUCGGAGUUGGCUUUCUAGAUUCUCAACAUAGGCUACUAACUCUGGUGGUUGUAGAGCCCAAAUGCGUUGUGUUUUACAAAACUGAAUCUGCUUUUUGAGAUGAGUUUUGACACGUUGAAGUGGUUUAAGAAUGUUCAGGAGGAACGGUCUAAGUAAGGUACUCAUGAUUAAAAAUGAUAAAAGAAAACUUAAUAGUUAAACAAACACACUUAUGCAAAAAUAAUUUCAAUUAGCAGAAGAAUAAUAAAAAGAAAGAAAGAAAAAUCAAAUCAACGAAAAGAAAAAACAAAUCAAUUCAAAUCUGGUGGGUCACUCAAAUUUAUUUCGGUGUCUUCUCCAUGUGGUUGGUAUUCUAGAUAUGGCUUUAAUCUUUGACCAUUAACUUUAAACGUGACACCGUUCUUUGGGUCCUUAAUUUCAAUUGCCCCAUGUGGAAAAACAGUAUGUACAAUAAAUGGGCCAGACCAACGAGAGCGUAACUUACCUGGGAAUAGGUGCAAGCGAGAAUUGAAUAAAAGCACUUUCUGACCUGGAGUGAUCGAUUUUCUCAUAAUUUGCUUAUCAUGGAAGACUUUCAUUCGUUGCUUGUAAAUCUUGGCAUUUUCGUAUGCAUCAUUGCGAAUUUCUUCAAGUUCUGCCAGCUGUAAUCUUCUUUCUGAGCUGGCUUGCUGCAUGUCAAAAUUGAAUUUCUUGAUGGCCCAAUAUGCACGAUGCUCUAGUUCCACAGGUAGGUGGCAAGCUUUUCCAUACACUAGCCUAUAGGGUGACAUCCCAAUCGGGGUCUUGAAAGUCGUUCUAUAUGCCCAUAAUGCAUCAUCAAGUCUUAAUGACCAAUCUUUUCUGUCUGGCCUCACCGUUUUUUCUAAUAUGUGCUUGAUUUCUCGAUUGGAGAUCUCAACUUGGCCACUGGUUUGCGGAUGAUAUGGGGUCGCCACUUUGUGUGUGAUUGAAUACUUUGUCAAAAGUGCUUUAAAUGCUUUGUUACAAAAGUGGGCACCACCAUCACUGAUUAUCGCUCGAGGGAAUCCAAAGCGUGAAACAAUGUUGCUUUUCAAAAAUCCUAUCACCACUUUGUGAUCAUUGGUCCUACAUGGAAUUGCUUCUACCCAUUUCGAUACAUAGUCAACAGCAACCAAUAUGUAUUGAUGGCCAAAAGAAGGGGGAAAGGGUCCCAUGAAGUCGAUACCCCAUACGUCAAAAAUCUCAACCACUAAAAUUGGAUUUAAUGGCAUCAUGUUCCUUCGUGUAAUGCUCCCCAUUCUUUGACACCUAUCACAUGAAGAACAAAAAGUGUAAGCAUCUCGAAAUAUAGUUGGCCAAUAGAAACCACAUUGUAAAACUUUAGUCGCUGUUUUCUUAGAACUAAAAUGGCCUCCACAAGCUUGUUCAUGGCAGAAUGAAAGGAUAUUCUGAAUUUCACUUUCUGGGACACAUCGUCUAACAAUUUGGUCUGCACAAUACUUGAACAAAUACGGGUCAUCCCAAAAGAAAUUCUUUAUUUCUGCAAAGAAUUUAGCCUUGUCUUGCUUGGUCCAAUGCUCUGGAAAUUUACCUGUAACAAGAUAAUUAACUAUAUCAGCAUACCAAGGUAAUACUUCCACAUUCAUCAAUUGUUCAUCUGGGAAUGACUCAUUUAAUGGUAAUGGCUCUGUAAUUGUGUCAAAAUGGAGACGAGAGAGAUGAUCCGCCACAACAUUUUCUGUGCCUUUUUUAUCUUUGAAUUCCAAGUCAAAUUCCUGCAAAAGUAACACCCAACGAAUUAGUCUAGCUUUUGCAUCUUUCUUUGUGAGAAGAUAUUUAAGAGCAGCAUGAUCUGUAAAUAUAAUUAUUUUACAACCAAUGAGAUAAGAUCGAAAUUUUUCCAAUGCAAACACUACUGCUAGCAUUUCUUUUUCAGUAGUUGAAUAGUUCAACUGUGCAUCAUUCAAUGUCAUACUAGCAUAGUAAAUAACAUGAGGAAUUCGAUCAACUCUUUGUCCUAAAACUGCUCCUACUGCAUAAUCAGAUGCAUCACACAUGAGCUCAAAUGGUAAGUUCCAGUUUGGGGCCUGAAUGAUGGGUGAUGAUGUCAACAACUGCUUUAAUUUUUCAAAAGCCAUAAGACAUGAAUCAUUAAAGAUAAAAGGUACAUCCUUAGCAAGUAAAUUGCAUAAGAGUCUAGAAACUUUGCUAAAAUCUUUAAUGAAACGUCUAUAGAAACCAGCAUGUCCAAGGAAGGAUCUUACUUCUCUGACUGUUUUAGGUGGAGGAAGAUUAGAAAUGAGAUCCACCUUGGCUUUGUCAACCUCAAUACCUUUGCUCGAAAUGAUGUGACCGAGAACAAUACCUUGUUUUACCAUAAAAUGACACUUCUCCCAAUUCAAGACUAAGUUCUUCUCGAUACAUCUCUGCAGAACUAGCGUUAGAUGAUGUAAACAUUGAUCAAACGAAUCACCAAAGACAGAAAAAUCAUCCAUAAAGACUUCAAGGAAUCGUUCAACCAUAUCAGAAAAAAUGCUCAACAUACAUCGUUGAAAUGUAGCAGGUGCAUUACAUAAUCCAAAUGGCAUUCUCCUAUAUGCAAAUGUGCCAAAAGGGCAAGUGAAAGUAGUUUUCUCUUGAUCUUUUGGUGCUAUGGGGAUCUGAUUAUAUCCUGAGUAGCCAUCUAGAAAGCAAUAAAAUUCAUGGCCUGCUAAUCUAUCAAGCAUUUGAUCAAUAAAUGGUAAAGGAAAAUGGUCUUUACGUGUGACAGAAUUCAACUUUCUAUAAUCAAUGCAUACACGUCAUCCUGUAGUUACUCUAGUUGGUAUCAAUUCAUUAUCAGCAUUGGUAACUACUGUGACUCCUGACUUUUUGGGGACAACUUGUACAGGACUGACCCAUGAACUAUCAGAAAUUGGGUAAAUGAUACCUGCGUCUAAUAGCUUAAGGACUUCUGUUCUAACAACUUCUUUCAUAUUAGGAUUUAACCGACGUUGCAUUUCCCUAGUAGAUUUAGCAUUUUCAUCAAGGUGAAUGUAAUGCAUGCAUUCUGCAGGGUUUAUACCUUUUAUGUCUGCUAUGGUCCAUCCUAAUGCUCCUUUGUGCUCUUUUAAAACAUCCAACAACUUACCUUUUUGUUCGUCGUUUAGGGAUGAUGAGAUGAUUACCGGUAGAGUGCUUUCUUCUCCCAAAAAUGCAUAUUCCAAUGUGUUGGGUAAUGGUUUGAGCUCGAGUUUCGGUGGUGAUUCUGAUGAUGGGAUGAGUUUCUUCUCUGAUGGUGCUAGUUGUUCAACUCUUGACUUCCAUUUAUUAGUGUCCAUGGAUGGUGUUGAGUCAAGCAGGGCGUUGACCUCAUCAACUGAUCUGUCAAUAUCAAAAUCAAAACCAAAGUGAGUUAAACAUGUUUUUAAAGGAUCAUCACUAAGGUUUGAAAGAAAAGUAUUAUCAACUAUUGUUUCUAUUAAAUCCACAUCAACAAUUCCAUCAUCUGCACUGUGAGGUUGUUUGGCAAUGUUGAAAAUGUUUAGCUCCAUAGUCAUGUUGCCAAAGGACAACUGCAUAUUUCCAGUCCUGCAUUGAAUAUGAGCAUCUGCAGUUGCCAAGAAAGGUCGGCCUAGAAUAAUGGGGAUGUGCUUCCUUGAGUCCUGUAUUGGUUGAGUGUCAAUUACAAUGAAAUCAACAGGAAAAUAAAACUUGUCUACCUGGAUAAGCACGUCCUCCACAAUACCACGAGGUAUUUUCGUGGACCGAUCUGCAAGCUGUAACACCACUGGAGUUGGGUGUAAUUCUCCCAGUCCAAGUUUCACAAACACAGAGUAAGGCAACAAAUUUACACUAGCUCCUAAAUCCAACAAAGCAUUCUCAAUUGUGUGGUUCCCUAUACUACAUGAGAUAGUGGGGGAGCCUGGGUCUUUGCAUUUUAGAGGAAUUUUAUGUUGGAGUAUAGAACUAACGUUUUCUGUUAAAAAUGCCUUCUUUUGAACAUGCAUGUUUCUCUUUUUAGUACACAAAUCUUUAAGAAACUUGGCAUAAGAUGGAACUUGUUUAAUAGCAUCAAGCAAAGGGAUAUUAACACUUACCUGUUUGAAGAUUUCGAGAAUCUCACCUGUGGAUUUUCCCUUCUUUCCUUUCGCUAACCUCUGAGGAAAUGGAGCUUUCGGAACAUAUUCUCGUGGGUUGGUUUCUUCUUUUUCCUCCGGUGGUGAGUCCUCAACAUUCACAGGUACAAUUUGAUUUUCUUUUGUCACCGGCAUCUCCACUUUGUUGUCGACUUCCUUUCCUUUUCGCAAGGUCAUGACUGCUUUGACCUCUCCAUGCUGUUGUGGUGAACUGGUACUUGCUUCAUGUACUCCUUUAGGAUUAGGCACUGGUUGACUUGGAAAUUUACCUUUCUCAACAGUAAUUGCCAAGGUCUGAACUGAAGAAGCGAGCUGUCCCACCAUCUUCUCGAGGCUUGAAACUGAUUGGGCUUGUGAAUUGAAGCCUGCUCUCAACUCAUUUCGUAGUCCAUCAAUGGUGCGAUUCUGUUGCUCAAUCGUGGAAUGAGUAAGAUUCUUGAGAUUCUGGAAUGAAUCCUCCCAUGGUCUGGGUUGAGAAUAGUUCUGGUUUUGAUUGUAUGGUCUAAAUGGUGGCUGAGAGGCUUGAGGAUUUUGUGGAAUUGGUGGAGCUGGAGCUGCUGGUCCAUUCUGUUGGAAUCCUUGAGACCAUGAAAAAUUGGGGUGGUCUCUCCAUCCAGGGUUAUAUGUGUUGGAGUAUGGGUUGUAAUUCGAUGGUUUUCUGAUUACACCUAUGGCAUUGGCUUGAUCGGAGUAUGAGUCAUGGUCAUGUGGUUCUGUUGAUUUAGCAGUCGACAACGAUGCUAUUUGUCGAGCAAGACCUUCAACCAUCUCCUUGACUUCUUUGAUUCCCGAAGUUGACUCGCCAAUUUGAACCUCAUUUACUCCCUUAAUUCUUCUAGUAUUCCUGAUUGAUCGACUCCGUUGUUGGGAAUUAUCCGCUUGUCGCUGGAAGAAUUCCCAAAUCUCUGUUGCGCUUUUUGACAUUAGCUCUCCUCCACUUGUUGCCAUUAGCCAUUCUUGCACAUUUGGCAAUAAUCCCUCCAAAAAGUAUUGGCAUUGGUGCCAUUUCUCAUACCCAUGAUGUGGACACUUCAAGAGUAGCCCAUUGAAUCGCUCCCAAGUUUCGAAAAACUGCUCGUCCUCUCUUUGUGUAAACUCUGAAAUUUCCCUAUGAAUAGAAUUGGUUUUAUGCACUGGGAAAUAUUUAUUUAGAAACUUUGUAACCGUUUGUUCCCAUGAUGCAAUGCUAUUAGCAGGCAAAGUAUUUAACCAUGAACGAGCUCUAUCCUUUAAAGAAAAUGGGAAUAAUCUAAGUUUAACAUCAUCGUCUGAAAAAUUUUCAUAUUUAAAAGUUUGACAAAUGGCAUGAAAAUCAUUCAGAUGAUUAUAUGGGUCCUCAUUUUCUAAGCCAUAGAAUGUGGGGAGACAAUUUAGCACACUAGGUUUUAGUUCAAAACUCCUAGCAGCUACAUUUGGGUAUCUUAUGCAUGAUGUGCUCAAAUUAGCUAAGGGACUAAAAUAGUCUUUAAAUGGCCUCUCCUGUGGUGCUUUUAAAUCCAUUUCAAAUUUAACGUGCUUGUGUGUGCGAAGUGUUUUUUCUAAUUCAAGGUCUAUAGGUUCAAGAUUAGGUAAUAAAGACCUACGACCAUGCAUACAAAAUAAAUAAAAUAAAAAUAAAGAUGGAAAAACAAAUAAAAAUAAAGAAGAGACAGAAAUUACAAUACUAACCUUAUUGCGCUAUUACAACCUUACUAUAAAAAUACACAAAAAUAAAUACGUGAAAUAAAUUAACUAAAAAUUAAAUUAAUAAAAUAAACAAAAAUUACAAAGAAAAAAAUAAAUUGAAAAUUAAAUUACAGAAUUUUAAAGAAGAGAAAAAGAAAAGAAAUACUAACCUUUAAAUGUAGAUUUACUUUUUUUUUUCUUUUUUUUCUUUUUAAUAAAAAAAAAUACAAGAAAACAAAUAAAAGAAAUUAUUCACAAAAAUUAAUUCUAUGAAUUAAAAUUACUUACCUCCCCGGCAACGGCGCCAAAAACUUGUUGUGCAAAUUUUAAUGUACUCGCAAGCGCACGAAUCUAUCGUAGUAUAGACUAAUGGUGACGAGUGUCGAUCCCACGAGGAGGUGGAUUUUAAUUAUAUGUAGAAUUAAUUUUGUAAAUGGGUGGUUGGAAUUGUGGUGGAAGUGAUUUAAAUUAUCCUAAAAUUGGAAUUGAAAUGGCGAUAAUAAAUUCUAAAAUUGGAAUUGCAAUGACGAGAGUAAAUUGAAGAGAAAUCUAUUGAAAUAACGUACUUGGGUAUCUGGAUCCGUAUCAACAUGCAUCAUGGGCUAAAUAAUCCGUAUUAAUGCCAAUUAAAUCAUGAGGGGGGAAUCCACACCUCAUGAACCACGCUCUAAUCAAUAUGGUGCUAAGGGCUUAUCGUGCCAAAUAAUAAUAACCUUAUACUAGAGAGCCGGUGUAACCAAGGCGGUAUCUAGACAAGAUCAGUAUUAUUUGUCGACGAUAAGUCAAAUCAUCCACAAAAACUAGAGGGGAAAAGAAAAUAAAUUUACCAAAUAAAGCCCAUGACACAUGUUGAGACUUCACCUUCAACCCAAGCUUGAAAGAAAACUAGCCACUCAUAAUUGAACUAGGGGCAAAAUAGGAAUUUAUUAAAAUACAAAGAAAAUACAAGAUGGAGAGAGAAUUACAGAAAAUGGAUCCCAAAAAUGGAUUCAGAGAUAUCCAAUUAGGGGGGAGAGGCCCCCUUUUUAUAGAUACAUGGAGUAAAUCAUGGCCAUCGGAUUAAAAACAGUUUAGACGCUCAGGAUUGUGCCGCGUCAUCAGUCAACAGUCCACGGUUUGACCACGCGGAUGAACAGUAACACGGUUUGACCCGACUUUGAACAGUAACGCGGUUUGACCCGGAUGAACAGUAACGCGGUUUGAUUGAAAAUAAUCCUGUGUGAUGCAUGUACCGUACGCGAUAUUUUUCAUCCACUGAUAUGCUGCCACGUCACCAUCAACAGUACAUAAGAAUUUUAGCCCAACAGGAUCGUGACACCUCAUCAGUCAAUGCCACAUCAUCGGUCAAUGCCACGUCAUCGAUCCGUCUAUGUGAACAGUGUUGUGAACAGUAACGUAGUUAGUACCGUACACGUGAAUAGUACCGUACAUAUGAAUAGUGCCAUUUUUCCUUUUAUGCUCCUCUUAAGGUUUUCGACUGUCCUGAGUUCAAAAGUAAUGUCCGUUUUGCCGUCUGAUCUCUCUUUUAUUGUGAAAUGACUAUAAUGCCCCUAAAAUACAUAAAUUACUUAAUUAAAAUAAAACACACGUAAUUAAAUCACAAGAAUGUUAAAUACAUAAAAGUAACGGUUGUUAGUAAGACUUGAAAUGUAAAAUGACGGUUUUCUCCUUUAUAAAUAUGCAUUUUCUAACACUCAACAGUAGCCAGGAUUUUGAUCGAGUCGGGGCAUAUUUGAAAUCAAAUAUGACUCAAAUGCGCGAUUGCUCAUAUGAUAAGUUCCUAUUUGAGAAACUGUAUUGUGGCCCCCAUAAACUCCAAAUGGGAACUUGCGACAUGUAUAAUUGUACUCCUUAUAGAGUGCGUCUGCAAGCAUCUAAUUGAAACCACAUUUAAAGUAUAAUACAUUUUUAAAAAUUUAGAUAGCAAUAUAUAACAUUACAACUAUAAUAUUCAUUGAUAAUAAAUUUAUUUAUUACAAUGGUUCUCCGUGAAAACUUCUCAAUGAGAUUUGAUGAGUUGAAAAUAAUGCAUUAUCAAUAUAAGCAAAAAUAUAUUUUUCAAUAUACAAGACUAGGCUAUUACUUAAUUUGCUCUUAAAAUCUUUUAAUAAUAACAAAAAUAUUCAUAUAUUGCAACACAAAGAAUAAAUAUGAAAUGCAUGAUAAAAUUAUAAAUUUUAAAAUUAGACAAAAGAUUAAUUAGAAAAUUAAAAAUUAAAAUUAGGUAGACUUACAACUUAUGGUUCAGUAUUGAAAGACUAAAUAAUUGAUUUUACUUGAAUAAAAAAUAAAAAGAUUAAAUACCAGUCCAUUAACCAUUAUACUAAUAUUUUGUUAUGAUUGUUUUUUAUUUUAAUAAUUGUUCUCGUGUAUUUAAUCAAGUUUCAUGAAAUGUUAAUAACUAAUUAAAUUAUUUAUAAUUAAAAAUUUAAACUGGGGAUAGUAUGAAAUAUUUUAAAAUUAUUGGAGUCGAUUUCAAAUUUUAAAAUUCAGUUGGGGCAUUUUUCAUAAAUAACAAAUAAAAUACAAAUUUUUAGUAUAAUUAUAAAAAAAAAUUUAAAAGCUAGCUGGGGCCUGUGCCCCACCUCGUCCCAUGCUGGCUCCGUCCCUGAUUAUACUUACAGAAUUGUAAACACAUUAAUUAAUUAUUAUAAAGUUUCACUUCCACCUUUAUUACUGCAAUUCUCUACAUUUGUCUUUCCCCACAAAUAUAUAUCCCAGCACUUAGUAGAUAUAUUAUUUUAUUAUAAAUAUCAAUAGAUUUUUAAUUGUAUAAUACAUACUUAUGAAAUUGUAUAGAGUAAUUUCGUUCAAUUAUAUUAAUCCGUUAUGAAUUUCAUCACAAAUUUAUAGGUGGCCAAUACCGUGCAAGUGAAAUUUCAGAUAAAAUCAUCUCCUAGCAAUUUUUUUUUUAUAUUUUUCAAUUUUGCUUUAACGUAUGGAUCCAUUUCUUGUCUAUAUGGCAGACAACUUUUAUUAUCAGGUAGGCAAAAUCAAAAGCCUUUAUGUCGUUAAUUUUAUUAUGCCAUGACAGACUCCAAGAUCUAAUUUAGAGAGCGACUCAAAUAAUGGUAAUUAGUAAUUCAUUAUAUCUGCGGCUAGCUAGAUACUUUGUUUGUGAAAAAAAAAAAAAAGAAUAAAAUCAGUUUCAUAAUGAUUUUAUUUACAAUAAAUACCAUACUAUGGUCCAUGACUUACCUCAUAUUACUAAGAAAAUAUGUGAAAGAUAAUUAAGGAUUAAAGCUUUCCACAAAGAUUUAUAAAAUUGCUUUUGAUAAAACUGUUCUGAUGAAAUGAAAUUAUAUGCAAUUACUAAGAAUUUAGUUAGCCUCUCAAUUAUCAGAACCCAGUAGUGCAUUUGAAAGGUGAGCAUCAGCAAAUGACUUGUCAAUUAAAAUGCUGAAAUUCACCCUAUAUGCAUUUGUGCUACUAGAUACGUCAUACGUUACCAUAAAUAGUGAUCAGCAUUUGUAAUAUCAAAUUUUUUGUUUUCAUGGUCUUACAAACAACAGGAAUAAAGAGCCAUGACACAAAAACUGGAAAAGAUAUAAUUAUUCUGCUUAUUGGCAGCUUGCGGUUCAUAAUUAAGACGUUCAGCAAGUUCAUGGGAGCCAUGUUUAUGAGCAUCCUCACGUGGAAGUUCUGUGACUGGAACAUGAUGCUUGCAAAUCUUUCCAAAUAUUCAGACAAACUAGAAAAGCCUAAUGUGCGAACCUCUUCGAAAGCUAUAUGUGGAAUUUGAUUCUUCCAUAUCUUUACAUAUUUCAGCUGGCAUGGAGCACCAUGCUUGCAAAUCCUUCUAUUUGAACAAUUACAUAGUUUGCUUUUGCUUCUUAGCUCAAACAACGCCGGAUCUUUGAUACCUGAGCAUCCUGGAUGGGCUGUGUUUGCAUGAAGCAACUGUUGGGGAAAAAUUAGGUUUUUAAAUUUUUUAUAAAACCUUAUGAAGAUCGCUCUCAUAUAAUACAUAAGAAUUUGUAUUCUAGAAAUCGUACCUUGAAAAUCUGAGUUGGCUUUUUCCGGUGAAGUGAUUUAGGCUCCUAGAUCACGAUCCGCCACCACCACUCCUGUUAGAUCACGAUCCGUCACCACCACGCUUGUUAGAUCACGAACUGUCACCAAUGAUCUUCCAGGUUAUGACUCAGGUUCGAUCUGCACUUGACGUGUGGGCGCCGUUAUCACUACCAAAGCAACUAGCACGAGAAAAUUUUUCUCUCAACAAUGGAGAGAAAAAUCUUUUUCUCUGAUUUGUAUAAAGUGGCUUCUUCUUUUCCUUUUUGGGAAAAUAAGCCUUAUAUAUCUCCCUUUAGUGAAAACCCUAGGCUCCAAGGAUUCCCCAAAAUAAAACUCACGUUACUUUUCAUUUAAUAGGAGACCCACCAUGUAAAAUAACAUAAGGCCCCUUACACAUAAGCUUAUUAAAUGGAGCCUCCCACUAAAUGAUAUAUUUAGGCUUUUGACCCAAAUAGCUAGUUAUCUUGCUUAUUAGUCCAGCAGUGGUGCAAUCAAUUAAAUGAGCUAACCCGGGGAUCAUUUGGGAACAUACAAUAGUGGCUACAAUAAUUAGGCCUGUAAUUAAACUAGCCUAAUUAUUUAAUUCCAAAUCUACUCCACUAAAAGAUUGGAACUGACUUCCAUAAUUGUAUGCUCGAAUAAUAAUUCGUCCCAAGCCACAUUGAUUUCUUUACUGCACAAUCCUUUGUACCACAUCGUUAAUUAAAUUGAUAUCUCAACUGUCCAAUCAAUUUAAUAACAUCUUAUUCCUUGAUCCUUACUGGUUUUCUCUAAUGAUCAUUUUCAACAUACUAAAUAUGUUGACACACUCUGGCCAGAGAAUUCUAUGAUCAAGUACCGAAAACCUAUCAAGAGAUGUGUUGUACAAAUUCUAUAUUGUUAAUCCAUAACUCCAAUACUCAUAAUUGCUCCCACCAAGAUACCGGGUAAUCUUGACCAUAAGGAUGUGUCGUGCCCAUUGGUAACUCAAAUGAAAUAACAAUUACAAUCAUGAAAUCAUAAUUAACUCAAGAUUAAGAUUACAGUAAAAUCAACGCCUAUGAGAUUUAAUAAGUCUGACAGUUAUUACAAAGUUAAUUAAAUCUCAUAUGUGAUCCUAUUCAAUGUAGUCGCACUACAUCAAUAAAUUCAUACAUGAUUAAGACAAAUCAUUCAAUGAAUUUAUUACAGUCUAUACCUAAAUAAAGUGUCCAACUUUAUUUAUCAACUGCGAACUAAAUUUAUUUAAUCAUAAGAUAACUUGUAUUUAUGUCUUAUGUGAAUCCACAUGGUGAUCACAUAAAUACAUAUAAUAUGAUUAAAUGGACUUUAAUACAAAUAUUAAUGCAAUUAAGAUAUUUGAAUAAAAUACCUCAUUUAUUUUAUUAAUCAGAAAAAUUGUUUAUUACAAUUAAAUAAACACAUAUGCUUUUAAAGAGCAUAUUUUCCCAACAAUCUCCCACUAGCUCUCAAAGCAUAUUUGGCAUCUCACGCAUGCCCAUGGAUUCUAAGUGCAAGUUAAAAGGUUUCCCAGGUAUGGCCUUAGUAAAAGGAUCUGCCAAGUUUUGCUGUGACGCAAUCUGAGUAACCUCCUCAUCACCUCUCUGCACUAUAUCCCUUAUAAGAUGAUACUUUCUCUCAAUAUGUUUUUGUUUCUUGUGGUUCCUUGGUUCCUUAGAUUGAGCUACCGCACCACUAUUAUCGCAAAAUAGUUUAAGGGGUGCAGUUACAGCAGGUACCACCUCAAGAUCUUGUAGGAACUUGCGGAGCCAUACAGCUUCUUUUGCAGCUUCGGAUGCAGCCACAUAUUCAGCUUCAGUUGUGGAGUCUGCGAUACAAGAUUGUUUCACACUCCUCCAACUAAUAGCUCCACUUCCCAAUGUAAACACAUAGCCGGAAGUUGAUUUUCUGGAAUCCUUAUCUGACAUAAAGUCAGAAUCAGUAUAACCCACUGGAAUGAGUUCAUCACCAGAAUACACAAGCAUAUAAUUUUUAGUUCUUUUCAGAUACUUCAUUAUAUGCUUGACCGCAGUCCAGUGUUCAGGUCCAGGAUUAGAUUGAUAUCUACUAACCAUCCCUACCGCAAAACAGAUGUCUGGCCUAGUGCAAAGCAUGGCAUACAUGAGACUUCCCACAGCUUCUGCAUAGGGAACUCGUCUCAUUCUCUCUAUCUCUUCAGAUGUUUUAGGUGAUUGAUCCUUAGAGAAUGUAAUUCCAUGUCUGAAUGGUAAUAAACCAGUCUUGGAAUUUUCCAUGCUAAAUCUAGCCAAUAUCUUAUCGAUAUAGACCGCUUGAGACAAGGCUAAAGUUUUAUUCUUCCGGUCUCGUAGUAACUUGAUACCAAGAAUAUAACUUGCCUCUCCUAGGUCUUUCAUAUCAAAUUGUUUUGCUAACCAACUCUUUAUUGUAGUCAAUACUCCUAUAUCGUUUCCAAUUAGGAGAAUAUCGUCUACAUAAAGAAUUAGGAAGGCUACAGAUUUUUCUUGAAUUUUCUUGUACACACAUGGUUCAUCAAUGUUCUGAAUGAAUCCAAACGAUUUAAUCGCUUGAUCAAAUCUGAUGUUCCAUGACCGGGAUGCUUGCUUCAAUCCAUAAAUGGAUUUCUGCAACUUACAUACCAUGUGUUCUUGGCCUUUUUGUAUAAAUCCAUCUGGUUGCUGCAUGUAGAUGUUUUCUUCAAGAUGCCCGUUAAGAAAGGCAGUCUUGACAUCCAUUUGCCAAAUUUCAUAAUCUAGCAUUGCAGCAAUUGAGAGCAGAAUCCUGAUGGAUUUAAGCAUAGCAACCGGAGAAAAAGUUUCCUCAUAAUCGAUUCCCUCUUUCUGAGUAAACCCUUUGGCUACUAAUCUUGCUUUAAAUGUUUCCACCCUUCCGUCUACUCCUCUUUUUCUCUUGUAGAUCCACUUGCAUCCUAUAGGUUUUACCCCAUUUGGUGCCUCUACAAGUUCCCAGACUUUAUUGGAAUACAUAGAUUCCAUUUCUUGAUUCAUGGCCUUUUUCCAAAAUUCAACAUCUCUAUCUAUUAGAGCUUCGUUGUAACUAGUGGGAUCUUGUACAUGUUCAUCUGAGAUAGCCGUAUAGGUUUCUCCCAAAAGCAUGUAUCUCGCAGGUAACCUAGUUACCCUCCCACUACGACGAGGUUCUAAAAGUGAUGGUUGUUCAGGGUUAAUCCUGUGUUGAUCAUCUGGUUGUUGCUGUUCUUUCUGUUCUGUAACAGGCAUUGAAAGCUGAGCAUCAACCUGAUCACCUGACAGUUCUUCAAGUAUUACCUUACUCUUAGGUUUGAAGUUAUUCAUAUAGUCUUCCUCAAGGGAAGUUAAAUGUGUGCUCACGAUCACUUUCCUAUCUUGAGGACUAUAAAAUAAACCUCCCCUUGUUCCUUUGGGAUACCCCACAAACAUACAAACCUCAGAACGUGAAUCCAUUUUGUCUGCCUUUGGUUUCAGCACAUGUGCUGAUGAUCCCCAAAUACGGACAUGUCGUAAACUUGGUUUGCGACCUGACCAUAAUUCUAUUGGGGUUUUAGGCACUGACUUAGAUGGAACUAAGUUCAAAAGGUAAACUGCAGUUUCCAGUGCUAGUCCCCAAAAAGAGAUUGGUAAUGACGAAUAACUAAGCAUAGAUCUCACCAUAUCCAAAAGAGUUCUAUUUCUUCUUUCAGCUACCCCAUUUUGUUGUGGUGUUCCCGGGGCAGUCAAUUGAGAUAUAAUCCCAUUUUCAACCAGAUACUCUUUGAAAUCUCCUGAGAGAAAUUCACCACCUCGAUCAGAUCGAAGUUUCUUUAUGUUCUUAUCUAAUUGCUUUUCUGUCUCAGCCCUAUACUCUUUGAAUUUCUCAAGAGCUUCAGACUUAUGACGCAUUAGAUAAACAUAACCGUAUCUUGAGUAAUCAUUAGUAAAAGUGAUGAAAUACUCAUAACCUCCUCGAGCUUGUACAUUGAUUGGUCCACAUACAUCUGUAUGUACCAAUUCAAGUGGUACUGUUGCACGUACUCCUUUGGCCGAGAAUGGCCUUUUGGUCAUUUUCCCUUCUAAACAGGAUUCACAGAGUGGCAAUGAUUCAUUUUCUAAUGGACCCAAGAGCCCAUCUUUGAUCAUUCUCUGUAUCCUAUUUUGGUUUAUAUGACCCAAGCGUAAAUGCCAGAGGUAACAUUGGUUGGAAGAAAUAUUUCUUUUCUUAGAUAAAUGUGCAUGCUCAUCAUUAUUUAUCACUGUGUCAUGCAUAUAAUGGAUCAUUGGACUUAAAUGAUAUAAAUUAUCUUCCAUUUUACCAGAACAAAUAAGUCUCUUAUUAUGAAAAAUAGAAACAGAGGAUCCAAAAUUUACAGUGUACCCUUGCUUUGACAAACAAGCUACUGAAAUUAAAUUCCUCUUAAUGUCUGGAACAUAAAGACAAUUAUUCAAAACUAAAGUCUCAUUAUUAAAAGAUAAUAAAACAGAUCCAGUCUUUACUGCUGACACGAACUGUCAUGUCCCUAACUGCAGCUUGACGCUUCCUUCACUUAUUUUCUUGGUUUCCUGAAACCAAUAAAGUGAAUUACAAAUAUGAUUAGUUGCUCCUGAAUCCAACACCCAAGUGUCAAUAGGAUUCUGAACUAAACAGGCCUCAAUUACAAAAAGAUUUCCCAUACCUGAUUUCACAAUCUUAGGGCAAUCCUUUUUCCAGUGACCUUUCUGUCCACACUUAAAGCAUUUGCCUUUCGGCUUGCCAUCUUGCUUGGUAGACGGUCUCUUUUUCCCAGCUUUCUUCUUACCUUUGCCUUUCGGUUUAGGCCCAGAAGAUGAACUUUUUUCAGUAAUAUUUAUGAUUCCCAGAGAUUUCUCAGCACGAUAGAUCUCUUCAGCAGAAUGGAGUUCGUUCAUCAAUUCAGUUAAGGUCAUGUUUCUUUUGUUCAUGUUAUAAUUGACCUUAAACUCCUUGAAUGUUUCUGGCAGAGAUUCUAGCACCAUGUCAAUCUUUGAGUUAUCAUCGAUUUGUGCUCCCUGAAUCUCAGCCUCAUUCAAAUAGUCCAUCAUUUUGAGGACAUGAUCACGAACUCUUGUGCCCUUCCCCAUUUUACUGUUCAUAAUUCCUUUCAGCGCUGCUUGUCUCGCAGAGCGAGUACUCUGCCCGAACAUCUGUUGGAGACUAUCCAUUAUUUCAGUGGCAGUCUCCAAGUUCUGAUGUUUGGUCUGCAGAAUAUUAGAAAUCGAGGCUAAAAUGUAACACUUUGCCAUUUCAUUGGCCUUUUGCCAUUUCUCAUAAAGCCUCCUCUGAUUUCUAUGAGCAUCAUCCGCUGGAACUGGGGGGCAUGGCUGGGUUAAGACAUAUUUAUAAUUUUCAGCAGUCAGGACAAUGAAUAGAUUUCUUUUCCAAUCUAUAUAGUUCUCUCCAGUGAGUUUGUUUUGACUCAGAAUAAUAGUAAGUGGGCUCAGGGAAGACAUUUUCUGAAAAAUAAAACAUCCAUGCAUAAAUAAUUUGAAAUAAUAUUCACAAUAAAUGACAAAAAUGCAUAAAACCAUAAAUGCAUUUUAAUUUAUUGUAACGAUAAUCUAGUUCCGUUUUGACAAGCUAUCCGGUGGGGAAGUCAUGUCUAUACUUACUAGACCCAAUUACCCAUUGGAUUAUUUACUUUCAUGUAGAGACAUGAUAAAUAAUUAUCGUUAUCCUUUUGGGCCUAAAUUUGUUAACAGAGCUUCGUUGGGAAGAUUAAUAACAAAUUUUAGUUGAGUGUAUAACCAUUGUUUCAAUCUAGAUAUUUUUCAUUUCAAUAGUCACCGUUGGGGUGAACAAUCGAUUGAAAAAUAUUUCAAUUUUAUCUUUGAAGAAGUUCAUCAAAUAAAAUAUCUAAUAAAUAUACCCUCCGAAGGGAGCAUCACCGUAUCAUGAAGUCGAGGUAUAUAUAUAAUUUUAUUAUUGAACUAACAAUGGAGCCCGUGGGAAAAUUAUCUUAAAUUUUCCCUCUCCCACUCAAUAUUUUAAAAUUGGUUUUUCCUUUUUAAAACAUACAUAUUGUUAAUUGCAUGCUUCCUAUAAUAUUAUCUAGAUGAUCUCAAAUAUUAUUAAGCAUAUGCAAAUUUCAAACAAUAUAAUGAAAUUCAUUAUUAAUGAAUGACAUGUAUCAUUAUGCAUAGAGUGGCACUACCUAUUCUAUAUGACAUGUCAUCAUGGCAUGUUAUCAUCCAAAACAUAAUAUAUAGAAAAACAAUUAAAUAAUCUUAAUUCAUGGCUUUCCUAAUAAUGAAAAAUACAUUAACCCUAAGCCUAAUCUUCAUUGGGCUUCUUGUCAAUGUCCAUCUUCCAUAAUCAUGUCUUUGUUAAUGGACUAGGAAAAAUUAGGCUUUUAAAUUUAUAAUUGGUCCAAUUUUAAUUUUGAAAGAAAAUAAAUAAAUAAUAAAAAAAAAAUUUUAUUAAAAUAAAACUUUUGGACCAAAAAUAAAUUUAAUGUGUUCAAUUUUAUCUAUGUAUUUUAAUCCAUUAAGCCCAAAUUUUAAUUGGGCCUAAAACUAGGAUUCUUUAAGUCCAAAACUGUUUUUGGAUUUAAACGCAAAAAAUUGAAACAUUUCUGCCCGAAAGAAAACUUAUGAAACCAUAGGGACCUUCAUGAUAAAAACCAUGAAACCCUAAAAUCAUAUUUUUCUUUCUUUCAUCUUCCCCAGCCGCCAUCUCCACAAAGGGCAGCGACUGUUCACGCAUCUCCGACGCCGAUUUGCUGCCGCCGUCACGCCAGAAACGCACCCAAACGACGCCCUCCACCAGCAGCCUGUGCACGCGCGUCACAAGUCCUCGCCCGCGCUGAUGGUAGCGGUGCUUGCAGCGUUGCAGCGCGCGCUGCAGCUGCAGCGUGUGCAGCGCCCGCUGCUAGCAGCGUGGCUGCUGGGCGCUGCGCGUGCAGCGCGCGCUGCUGGCAGCAUGUGCAGCGCGCGCUGCUGGCAGCAUGUGCUGCUGGCCGCGCGCUGCUCCCGCAGCAGCGUGUGCUGCUGGCCGCUCGCUGCUGCGUGCGCUGGUUCGUUGCUGCAGUUUCCAGCAAGUUUCCGCAAUUUUCCAGUGAUGAUUCUUCAUUGAUUUACAAAUUCUCAACGCAAAUUAUGGCUUACAAAAUUUCAAUUACAUUAAAAUAAAUCAAGAGGAAAACAUGGUGAUAAUAGACCACCCCUCUUGUUACAGAUCCAAACGAAAAAUACAGUAGAACAUCUAACCAUGAAUUAAGACAAACUAUAAACAUGCUUUAUUCAUAUAUUAAACAAAUAAUAUAUAUCUGAAUAAAAUGUGCCACUCUAAUACAUAAAUUUCAAGAAUGAUUUCAUACGAAAUUCUUAUAUAUUAAUAUGAGAGGGCUCUGAUACCAAUUGUUGGGGAAAAAUUAGGUUUUUAAAUUUUUUAUAAAACCUUAUGAAGAUCGCUCUCAUAUAAUACAUAAGAAUUUGUAUUCUAGAAAUCGUACCUUGAAAAUCUGAGUUGGCUUUUUCCGGUGAAGUGAUUUAGGCUCCUAGAUCACGAUCCGCCACCACCACUCCUGUUAGAUCACGAUCCGUCACCACCACGCUUGUUAGAUCACGAACUGUCACCAAUGAUCUUCCAGGUUAUGACUCAGGUUCGAUCUGCACUUGACGUGUGGGCGCCGUUAUCACUACCAAAGCAACUAGCACGAGAAAAUUUUUCUCUCAACAAUGGAGAGAAAAAUCUUUUUCUCUGAUUUGUAUAAAGUGGCUUCUUCUUUUCCUUUUUGGGAAAAUAAGCCUUAUAUAUCUCCCUUUAGUGAAAACCCUAGGCUCCAAGGAUUCCCCAAAAUAAAACUCACGUUACUUUUCAUUUAAUAGGAGACCCACCAUGUAAAAUAACAUAAGGCCCCUUACACAUAAGCUUAUUAAAUGGAGCCUCCCACUAAAUGAUAUAUUUAGGCUUUUGACCCAAAUAGCUAGUUAUCUUGCUUAUUAGUCCAGCAGUGGUGCAAUCAAUUAAAUGAGCUAACCCGGGGAUCAUUUGGGAACAUACAAUAGUGGCUACAAUAAUUAGGCCUGUAAUUAAACUAGCCUAAUUAUUUAAUUCCAAAUCUACUCCACUAAAAGAUUGGAACUGACUUCCAUAAUUGUAUGCUCGAAUAAUAAUUCGUCCCAAGCCACAUUGAUUUCUUUACUGCACAAUCCUUUGUACCACAUCGUUAAUUAAAUUGAUAUCUCAACUGUCCAAUCAAUUUAAUAACAUCUUAUUCCUUGAUCCUUACUGGUUUUCUCUAAUGAUCAUUUUCAACAUACUAAAUAUGUUGACACACUCUGGCCAGAGAAUUCUAUGAUCAAGUACCGAAAACCUAUCAAGAGAUGUGUUGUACAAAUUCUAUAUUGUUAAUCCAUAACUCCAAUACUCAUAAUUGCUCCCACCAAGAUACCGGGUAAUCUUGACCACAAGGAUGUGUCGUGCCCAUUGGUAACUCAAAUAAAAUAACAAUUACAAUCAUGAAAUCAUAAUUAACUCAAGAUUAAGAUUACAGUAAAAUCAACGCCUAUGAGAUUUAAUAAGUCUGACAGUUAUUACAAAGUUAAUUAAAUCUCAUAUGUGAUCCUGUUCAAUGUAGUCGCACUACAUCAAUAAAUUCAUACAUGAUUAAGACAAAUCAUUCAAUGAAUUUAUUACAGUCUAUACCUAAAUAAAGUGUCCAACUUUAUUUAUCAACUGCGAACUAAAUUUAUUUAAUCAUAAGAUAACUUGUAUUUAUGUCUUCUGUGAAUCCACAUGGUGAUCACAUAAAUACAUAUAAUAUGAUUAAAUGGACUUUAAUACAAAUAUUAAUGCAAUUAAGAUAUUUGAAUAAAAUACCUCAUUUAUUUUAUUAAUCAGAAAAAUUGUUUAUUACAAUUAAAUAAACACAUAUGCUUUUAAAGAGCAUAUUUUCCCAACAGCAACGACUAAAAUCUGUAAACCAGACUGUGUUUGCAUGAACAAUAUAAUGAGAUUUUUUGCAUUCUUAAUCAAUUCAACCAACACAACAUGAAAAGUAACAAGUUUAUUAUUAUUUCUUCAAUUAUUGAUAAACUUCCCCCCACUUGAAAAGACUAUGAAAAUAGUCUUAAAUAUAGCAAAGAGGAAAUUAGCCUGGAAGGCAUGGCAAAGUCUUCAUAUUGAAUAGAAACUUAGACUUAAUAGUCUUGAGGAACAAACUGCUAUGUCCUCUGAAAUUAAUGUUGUGGAGGAGGAGAAGGAGCUUAAGCAGUCUAAUGACCGCAUUAAUAACCAAAAGCAAAAGUUUGAUUUCAAAUAGAAUCAAACCAACAGAAUAAAAAAAGAAGUGUACAUGUGACCAAUGUGAAAAGCCUAGCCACUUUAAAAAAGACUGUCAACUUCUUAAGAAAUAAAAGAAGUGUUCGAACACAAAUUUUGUGGACAAAAUUUAUGGCCGUGAUAUCUGAGAUUAAUAUUCUCGAACAUGAUAAUGCAUGGUGAAUAGAUUCCGGUGCAAUCAAGUAUGUGUACAAGAAUCGUAGCUUUUUCAUAUCUUACAAAGCAAUGCAUGAUUGAAGUGUUCUUUAGAUGGGAAAUUCCUCCAGUGCAUCAAUUAGAGGGAAUGUGCAACUAGAGUUCACUUGUGGAAAAACUUUAACUCAUAUUGAUGUUUAUCAUGUAUCUAAAGGUAGGAAAAAUCUUGUAUCUAUAUUAGGGUGGUACCUUAUUUGAGUCAAAGCAAAUUUGCAUUGUUUAAGGGUGGUACCUUUAUUGGGAAAGGAUACAUGUAUUAGGGAAUGCUCAAGCUCAAUAUUAAUAAAAUUAAUGUUUCUUCUGCUUACAUGAUUGACUCAUUAUCUUUGUAGCAUAUUCAUUUAGGACAUGUGAAUAUUAAAAGAUUGCAUGUCAUGGCUAAUUUAGAAUUAAUUUUUAAACAAGGAAACAAUGAUACUGCAUCACUCUCUUUUCAGCCCUCUUUCCUGAAACAAAUUUUAUUGUAUAACAUCAAUACUAUAUGCAUCAAAUAUCUAAUAUAUUGUUUACUACAGGGAUAUUAUAUUGAUUCUUGGCAAGCUUGCAACAUUCAAGAGUAUUCAAGUUUGCUUCCAUCGAUGAACAAUGCAAGCAAACAAAUAAGUGAUUCAUUGUAUCCUGGAGGUGUAUUUGUUUAGCCUAUAUGCAUCACUUAAUUGGUGGGACAAAUAAUAUCUUUAGGAAAGCGACAUUUGUAAUGUGCCUUGAAGUACACAUUAAUUUUCUACAGAUUACCUAUUACUAUUAUUUUAUUAUACUUAUAGAAUUGUAAACACAUUAAUUAAUUAUAAUAAAGUUCCACUUCCACCUUUAUUACUGUAAUUCUCUACAUUUAUCAUUCCCCACAAAUAUAUAUCCCAGCACUUAGUAGAUAUAUUAUUUUAUUAUAAAUAUCAAUAGAUUUUUAAUUGUAUAAUACAUACUUAUGAAAUUGUAUAGAGUAAUUCCGUUCAAUUAUAUUAAUCCGUUAUGAAUUUCAUCACAAAUUUAUUUGUGGCCAAUACCGUGCAAGUGAAAUUUCAGAUAAAAUCAUCUCCUAGCAAUUUAUUUUUUUUAUAGUUUUCAAUUUUGCUUUAACGUAUGGAUCCAUUUCUUGUCUAUAUGGCAGACAACUUUUAUUAUCAGGUAGGCAAAAUCAAAAGCCAUUAUGUCGUUAAUUUUAUUAUGCCAUGACAGACUCCAAGAUCUAAUUUAGAGAGCGACUCAAAUAAUGGUAAUUAGUAAUUCAUUAUAUCUGCAGUUAGCUAGAUACUUUGUUUGUGAAAAAAAAGAAUAAAAUUAGUUUCAUAAUGAUUUUAUUUACAAUAAAUACCAUACUAUGGUCCAUGACUUACCUCAUAUUACAAAGAAAAUAUGUGAAAGAUAAUUAAGGAUUAAAGCUUUCCACAAAGAUUUAUAAAAUUGCUUUUGAGAAAACUGUUCUGAUGAAAUGAAAUUAUAUGAAAUUACUAAGAAUUUAGUUAGCCUCUCAAAAAGGUUUAUUUAUUGCUUGACUUCUCGAGCUUAAAAUUCGAAUGUCAAAAUAGAUAAAAAGUUAAAAAAUUAUUUUAAAUUUAUCCACCCGUUUACCAUUUUAAUAUAUAAAAAAGAAUUACUUACUUUUUAGUAAUUAUGACUAUUUUUAGCAAUAGCAACCGGGGGCAUAAUAUAUCUGAUAGAUUUUUUUUGGGGAACAAAGCUUAUUAUCUCUCUCUCCUAUUGCUUUAAAGUGUCAUCUCUUAUGUUAAACAAGUCUCAGCCAAAGAUUAAAUUGUCAUAUGUUCGUAAGAUAUUCACCACAAAAGUCUAGGGAAAUUUCUUCAUCCUUGAGCGGAAAUACAAAGAAAAACAUAGUUAGCAAUUUUACUAGCAAAACUAAUAUUUUGUUACGUAUGGAGUAAAUCUUCAGGGGGCUCAAGCUCAAACUUAGAAAAACAUAGUUAUUUUGGACGCUUUUUCUAUUUAUAGCUAUUAUGUAGUCAUAAGGAAUUUCGAAAUUUGAGAAGUUUGCUUGUAGCUGCAGGCUGCAGAGAUUUUGAUUUGGCGACUUUGAUUGAUAAUUGAAGUUACUGUUGCAAGAGAAAUGAAAAAAAUAAUUAGCAAAAUAAAAGUCAAAGAGCUAGGCACAAGGCUAUUUGUCAUUUUGUCAUAGUAGAAAAAUAAUUAACAAAAAAAAAAUUCAGUUACUUUGACUUUAUUUCACAAAAUAUAAAAUUAAAUUUCUAUUAUAUGUAUAAAGUUUCUAUAUGAAGUGUUUAGGGGUCAAAUCAGUCUUUUUAUACAUAAUUUUUAAUAUUCACUUAGAAAUCUCAAAAAACUUUCAAAGCUUGUAGGGUCAUGAUCCCCUCUGGGAGUGGACAAAUGUGGGUUUAGAUCAACGCGUUUCUGGUUGAUAGGGUUAGAAUAUUCAAAUUGGAUUAGAUCGGAUAAAAAAUUCAAGUUAAAUUCGGAUCGCAUUGGGUUAUAAUUAUAAGCAAGUUAGGUUGGGUUUGGGUUAAAAUCAUAUUCGGGCUAGUUAUGAUGGAUUCAAAUAAUGUUCGGAUUAGCAUUAUUUUUAAGCCUUUUUUGUUUAUUUUGAAUUUUUUUAAUCAUUUUAGUUCUUGAAGAUUGUUUUAAAGUAAUUAUCUCAUUUCAGUUUUUUUUUUACCAAUUUUCAACAAAAAAUGAAAACUAGUCCUAUGAAAUCAAAUUAAUAAAAAUUAAAAUAAACUACUACUAUCAGAUUGGAUUGGAUCUCCAUCUCUUCCUUCUUCUACAUUUAAGGUAAUUUUGAGCCAUCCAUAGUGUAAUUAGUUCCUCUUUACACAUAUUGUAACCUUUUGAAAAGAUAGCACAAUGUGAGAAAUAUUGUUUUACUAUGGAUGACAAAUCAUUAUAACUUAACGACAAAGGAGCCAAAAGACCUUUCCCAAACUCUUCUACCUUCCACAUUCCACUAUCUAAAAUUAUUUUCUAUUCUUCUAUUGGUCAUUUAUAGUGUAAGAAUUUCCCUAUUAUCUUUGCAACAAAAGGCAAGCCUUUGCACUUACAUGCAAUUUUUUGAUCGAUUGAUCACGAUCCUUGAAGAAUUGACCCAAAAAUGCUACUUGCUUAAACAAUGACCAACAUUCUGUUGGGAAAAUAUGCUCUUUAAAAGCAUAUGUGUUUAUUUAAUUGUAAUAAACAUUUUUUCUGAUUAAUAAAAUAAAUGAGGUAUUUUAUUCAAAUAUCUUAAUUGCAUUAAUAUUUGUAUUAAAGUCCAUUUAAUCAUAUUAUAUGUAUUUAUGUGAUCACUAUGUGGAUUCACAGAAGACAUAAAUACAAGUUAUCUUAUGAUUAAAUAAAUUUAGUUCGCAGUUGAUAAAUAAAGUUGGGCACUUUAUUUAGGUAUAGACUGUAAUAAAUUCAUUGAAUGAUUUGUCUUAAUCAUGUAUGAAUUUAUUGAUGUAGUACGACUACAUUGAACAGGAUCACAUAUGAGAUUUAAUUAACUUUGUAAUAACUGUCAGACUUAUUAAAUCUCAUAGGCGUUGAUUUUACUGUAAUCUUAAUCUUGAGUUAAUUAUGAUUUCAUGAUUGUGAUUGUUAUUUCAUUUGAGUUACCAAUGGGCACGACACAUCCUUGUGGUCAAGAUUACCCGGUAUCUUGGUGGGAGCAAUUAUGAGUAUUGGAGUUAUGGAUUAACAAUAUAGAAUUUGUACAACACAUCUCUUGAUAGGUUUUCGGUACUUGAUCAUAAAAUUCUCUGGCCAGAGUGUAUCAACAUAUUUAGUAUGUUGAAAAUGAUCAUUAGAGAAAACCAGUAAGGAUCAAGGAAUAAGAUGUUAUUAAAUUGAUUGGACAGUUGAGAUAUCAAUUUAAUUAACGAUGUGGUACAAAGGAUUGUGCAGUAAAGAAAUCAAUGUGGCUUGGGACGAAUUAUUAUUCGAGCAUACAAUUAUGGAAGUCAGUUCCAAUCUUUUAGUGGAGUAGAUUUGGAAUUAAAUAAUUGGGCUAGUUUAAUUACAGGCCUAAUUAUUGUAGCCACUAUUGUAUGUUCCCAAAUGAUCCCCGGGUUAGCUCAUUUAAUUGACUGCACCACUACUGGACUAAUAAGUAAGAUAACUAGCUAUUUGGGUCAAAAGCCUAAAUAUAUCAUUUAGUGGGAGGCUCCAUUUAAUUAGCUUUUGUAUAAGGGGCCUUAUGUUAUUUUACAAGGUGGGUCCUCUAUUGAAAAAGAAAAUAACGUGAGUUUUAUUUAGGGUAUUAUUUGGAGCCUAGGGUUUUCACUAAAGGGUGAUAUAAAAGGCUUAUUUUUCCCAAAAGAAAAAAGAUGAAGCCACUUUAUACAAAUUGGAGAAUAAGAUUUUUCUCUCUAUUGUUGAGAGAAAAAUUUUCUCAUGCUAGUUGCUUUGGUAGUGAUAAAGGCGCCCACACGUCAAGUGCAGAUCGAACCUGAGUCAUAACCUGGAAGAUCAUUGGAGACAGUUCGUGAUCUAACAAGCGUGGUGGUGACGGAUCGUGAUCUAACAGGAGUGGUGGUGGCGGAUCGUGAUCUAGGAGCCUAAAUCACUUCAGCGGAAAAAGCAAACUCAGAUUUUCAAGGUACGAUUUCUAGAAUACAAAUUCUUAUAUAUAUUAUAUGAGAGCGAUCUUCAAAAGGUUUUAUAAAAAUUUAAAAACCUAAUUUUUCCCCAACACAUUCUUCUUCAAUUAAUUCCUUAAGAAAUGUAAGAUUUGUUGAUCUCAUCAUGCUUGCUACUUACUGAUUACGUGCAGUAAUCAAAAUUUGACUAUCGUAGAGACCAUUCUUUAAACAAUAGAAGAAUGGUUCCCAUUAAUUGUAAUGUCCAUCCCACACAUCAUUUAAGACAAGAAAAAAGUAUCUUUCCCUCAAUACAUUUAUGAAUAUGGCUUACAAGAGAUAACCUAAUAUUUGAACAUCGUUUUCGGGAUGGUUGCUCCUUUGAUUGUGUGGUCGCACCAUGAUAACAAGUGAACUUGCUCUGAUACCAGCUGAUGAUGCAGAAACACUAAAAAGCUAUUAGAUAAUAUAAACUAGUAUUUGAAUAAUAAGUUUUAUUGAGAAUAAUUUGAAUGAACAAAAUUAGGGUUUUGAAUCCCAUUUAUAGGAGCCUAAAUAUAGCAAAUUUAACAAACUAAGCAAAUUCAAAAUAUUAUAUGAUAAUAAAAUUCUUCAAAUCUAAAUAAGAGAAAGAAAACAGAUGGCACUUAAAUCCAACAUCUAGAAAAAAUGAUAAAAAUCCUAGAAGAAUCAAGAAAAAUAAAAAAAUAUCUUAAAACUGAAAAACGACUAUAAAAGAAGUGAAACUUUUAGCUCAAUCGCAGGGCAUAACAGCCUAGGUCGUUCUGUAUUUGGUUCGACUCAUCGCAAGCUUGGAAACUAUAUUAUAUGUCCAAAACAAAUACUCGUAGCCCAAUUUCUAGCCUCGGAAGACACCAUGCUUAUUCCAUGCAACUAUCUUAUAUCAACUUGCCUUCUCUGCAUCUUCAAGCACAACUUGAAUGUCUUGAAGAUUUAUGGCAAGUCACAAGCAGCAAAGGAGUUCAGCUACUCCGGGAGAGGGGAAGCGAUCACAUCCAUUCUGGCAAAGAAAAGGAGAAAUAAUUUCAUAAGUUGUUCAACGUGCUUUUGUUGCGAAAAUACUUAAAGAAACGAGUUGUUGCAUUCUUCUUACACUACACGAAAAAUGUUUAUGGUUAUUGUCGCCCACCCCACGCGUCAAUAAUUUUAGCAUUUUUAAUUUCCCUGAUUCUACUCCACAGCUGUGAUACAUAAUUGUAAAUAUUCUCUAAUUAAUUUGUAGUGGUCGGGCCAGUGCCAUUUAAAACCAAAAAAAAAAAAAAAACCAAAAGAAAAAAAAGACAAAAGUUGGAAAAAAGCAUGCAUCACCGAUAAUUUAUUUAUUUGUCUGAGGACGGGGAUAUUUUCUACCCACUUCUUUUACAAAUCUACCCACUUCUUUUACAAAUCUACCUUGCUGUCAGAAAAUAAUUGUAAUACGUUCAUACUAUUUUUAAAAUAUAUAAAUCAAUAAAAUGUAUAGACAAUCAAUAAAUUAAAUCAUUCAUAUAAUUUUUUAUUUUUUUAACUUAGGUGUCUUUGACCAUUUAGGUUGCUUUAAGAUAAGUUUUAUUUGACUAAUUUACCAUGAUAAUAUAAAAUGACUAAAAUACCCCAAGAAUCAAGAGUUCUUGUAUAUAAUAGUUUAGGUAUUUUAUUUUUUUGAUUCAAUCUCCAAACUUAUUGUAAUUACAUCUUCUUUAUUUCAAUUUUUAAGAAAUAAUUUGAACUUAUUGUAAUUAUUUCUUGAGAGUGGGGUGGGUUUACAAAAAUUAUGGGCCUUUUCGUUUAUUAAUUCUUGGAAAUUAAUGGCUCCGUAAUCAAUUUCUUUUGUUCUUUUAUUUAAAUAGAAAAGAAAAAUUAAGAGGAGCUUUUGUCUAUUGAAUUGAGGUUCUGUGAAGAAAAAUACGUAUCAAAUGAUCGACGGAUUGUACUUUUCAAUUUUUACUUCACAGUACUUUUCUUUAUUUGCUGGGUCAUUUAUGUUGUUUUGGACGGAUUUAAGUGUUCUUAUACAUUUUAUUGAAUUUUAUUUUGAUAAAAUCACCAACGAUCAGUAGAGAUUUACACUACUUAUCUGAGUAUUUGGUUCUCUAAUGUAAGGAAGCAUGUAAUCUUUCGCCAAUAAUUUUUUAUUUCAUCAAAAUGUUAAAAUGUUGAAAGGAGAAUUAGUUUAUAUAUAUAUAUAUAUAUAUAUAAGAGAAUUAGAGUUCAUAUUGAAGAAACUUCUUUUUCCUACUAUAAGUCCAGUUCGAAUCUUUGAAGCAAAUGAUCUAAUCUCAAGCAUAGAAAGUAGGAAGAUCGAUUGAACAGCGGACACAUUAACAAAAAAUAAUUAAUUUAAAAAGUUAAUAUUGGAUAUCAUAAAAAUUUUAUUAUUAUUAUUGGAAGUUGGUAUGUUGAAAAAUAAACAAGCUUUAUAUGAACUUUAAACACAGAUAAUAAUUUGCAUGUAGUGAAAUUGCUUAAUACAUCCAUUAUUUUAUCAUUUUUAAUUUUAUCUAUCGGUUAUUUUCAUUUUGAAAAUAUAGGAUAAAUAAAAUAAUAACAAACACAUAUUUCAAUUGAAAAUUUAUCAACUUGAAAACACCAUUUUCAUUCUCAUAAUAUAAAUUUAAAAAUAAAAUACAGAACAUGCCCUAACAUUUUCUGAAUUUAUUUUUAUACUGUAAAAGAAUCAAAUUACUCACACAAUUAUUUUAGCUUUUAUGAUAUAAACAAAUAAUCAUCAUUUAAAUUCAAUAGAAAGAGGUAUUCUUGGUAGAAUUGACUUCUUUAGCAAAAUAUAAUCUAUUUGGGACUUCUUACUCCAUUAGGUUAAUUGUCACAUCAUUAAUUUUAGAUUAUAAACUUUAUAUUCGAACUUUGUAAGACCAUCAUUUCUCCAUUUUUAUUUAAAAAAAAAAAAUUAACUUCUUGCAUGAUCUAGUUGGUCUCCUUUCAAAAGAAACCAAAAAUAAAAGGAAAUAAAGCAUAUUAUUUAUCUUAAUUACUUUCAUUUGUUAUUGACAUGUACUCAUGCAUUGUGGUCUUUUGUAUACUUUAUCGAUAUGUUUUGCUUAAGGGAUAAAACUCAUUAUGUGGCAAAAUUUUAUUAGAGCUGGGAUUAUUUAUAUAUGUUCUAGUACUUUGAGCAUCUUACUAUACACUCGUCUAUAAAAUUUUAACAUUAAUUUUUACUACUCAUCGAAAUAUCAAAAUAGUUCUGUAACGUAUGUGAAAAAAAAAAAAAUAAUAAUAAGAGGAAGCUGGGUAAUGUUUUAUGGGCGAGAGGGAUAGAGGAAGCUGUCAACCCGACCCGGAAAACCCGACCCAAAACUGCGAACCCGACCCAGACAGAUCUCCGAUUUUCGGCCACAUCACCGGCCAUGGAUGGUAGCAACGAAAGCUCCUGAGCCAGCCAUCACUUUCCGACCGUCACUGUCGCCAAAAACCAACCGAAACGCCGCCGUUUGAAGCGCGAAUAGUCGCAGCCAAAACCUAUCACGACCGUCGUUGAUUCCGUCGGAAUUAGGCCAUGCCAGACGGAGAAAUGGUCGGCGGUAAACAGAGUUUGUAUCGGAGGUGGGGUAAAUGGAGGAUGAUGGAGAGAGGGCAACCAACGGUCAUGAUGAGGGAGAGGAGGAGGAGGGUGAGGUUAUGGACGGCUGUGAUGGGCUUGAGGAUGUGGGGUCAAUGAGAGGUGAUGAUGGUGGUGCUGUUGAUGUUGAUGUUGAUGCGUCGUGGAGGAUGAAUGUGAGGGAGAGGUAAGUGAGGGUGGAGAGAUAAGUAACUUAUAUAUAUAUAUAUAUAUAUAUAUAUAAGUAAUAUAUUAUUUAUUAAAAAUUAAUUCUUUGAACACUUAAAAUUAUUAAAAUAAAAAUUUAUUCUAUUGUUGUUAAUUCAUAAAAUUUUAAUUCAAUUAUAACAUUUUCAUUUUUUUUUAAGUUAAAUUAUAUCUUUUUUAUUAUUUUUUCCUAAAUUAAACUAAUUUUUCUCUUCUUUUAUUGUCUAAAGUUUUUCGAUAUAGUUUUAUUUCAAAAUAGAUAAAACAAGUACAAAAAAAAGUAGAUGAAUAAAAGAAUAUAUUAAAAAAAUAAGAACAAAUAGCAACACAACUAAUUAAGAGAAUAAUAAAAAGAUAAAAUCAUAAAUUUGAGAUGAAAUCAUAAAUUAACUUAUGUUUAUAUUAAGGCUAUUGUUUGAAAAUUUGAGUAACGACCAAUAGUCAUAGAAAAUAGAGAAAAUUAUUAGAUUUUUUCUUUUUCUUCUAGAGUAGAAAGUAGGGGUGUUCGCGGAUCGGAUUUUACGGAUUGGACAUCAAUCCAUAUCCGAUCCAUGAUUUUGCGGAUUAUAAUUUUUCAAUCAAAUCCAAUCCACGGAUUGAUAAAAUUCAAUCCAAAUCCAAUCCAUACAUCUGCGGAUUGGAUGCGGAUUUGACUCAAUCCAUAUCCAAUCCAUACGUCUGCGGAUCGGAUGUGGAUUUGACUCAAUCCAUAUGCAAUCCACCAUUUUGCGCAUUAGUUUUCAAAUUAAAAUUUUUUAGUUCUCUCCAACUAAUGAAAUAAAAAAAUCUAAUAUAAAAAUAAUUUUGCUACCAAUUAAAUUUAAAAUUGAAUAAAAUUUAAAUAAAUUAAUUGUUUAAAUAAAGCUAAAAUAAUACAUUUAAAGUUUCAAAAUAUAACACAUCAAGAUUAAUUAUUCAAAUAAAGCUACAAUAAUACGUUCAAAAUUUCAAAAUAUAACACACCAAGCUUAAUUGUUCAAAUAAAGUUACAAUAAUACGUUAAUAUAACACCGAAAUUAAUUGUUCAAAUAAAGCCACAAUUAAUUGAAAUGGCAAAGUUUCGGAAACCAAACACAGUCUGAUCAUUCACCAGGAUUGUUGCGCCUGUCAAAAAGUGGUGAUUACGGAGCCAUCCACGAUGGGAACCGUGAGAAGCCGUACGGGUGGCAAUCUUGAAGGUUGUGAUAGUGAAAUUGUUCAGCUAGAACCAGUGAAUGUGAAGUGGCUCGAUGGACUUGGGAAAGAAGAUGGCUUGCUCUCGCCGGAAUCGCGCAGCCAAUGUCUUUUAAAUCCGUGUCGAGAGUGUAUCCAACCAGUAUUGAGUGUUGCUAGUGUGUGUGACGGCGAGGAGCUUAAGGUUUUUUGUUGGCAAAUUAUUGGUGACUUGACGUUAUAUUACUUUGCUUUUGCUAGUGCGUGUGACUUUACUUUUAUUUUGUUUUACAAUUUUUACAAGCUAUAUUUGUAUAUUUGAUUAUUUAAUUAUUUUUCAUUUUAUAUUAUUAUUGGGUAAUGGCUAAGAUAUGUUAUAUUGCUUAGUAACUAUGCAAUGUCACAUUUAUAAUUUUUUUAAUUAAAUUUAUAAUAAUUUUUUAAUUAUAAUAUAUAUAUAUAUAUAUAUUUUUUUUUUUUUUUUUUUUGCGGAUUCACGGAUUUCCGCAGAUUUACAGAAGUAAAUCCAUAUCCAAUCCAUCGACUGCGGAUUUUUAAAUUUUCAAUCCAUAUCCAAUCCACGGAUCGGAUUUAUACGGAUCGGAUUGGAUUCUGAACACCCCUAGUAGAAAGUAGAGGAAGAAAUAUUUUUUUCCCUCUCUCUCUUUCUUUCUCUCAAACACCAAGAUGUCUUGAUUGUUAGAGGAAAAUUUUAAUGGAUAAGUAACAAAAUGUGGGGCUUUUAUAGAGGUUUAAAAUAAAUAUAAAACUUUUGAAAUAUAACUUAUUAAUUCUAACAAUGAAAUAGAGAAUUUUUAGGAUUGAAACUAUUAAUUUAUUGGUUUUGUAGAAAUUAAAACAAUUAAGUACUACAUUAAAUAAACUUUAUAAGAAUUUGAUAGUUUAUUUAGAAAAAGAUAAUUACAAAAUAAUAAUAAAUUAAAUGAAUAAUAAUGACUUUUAAAUUCAUUUUCCUCUUUUAUAUACAAAAUAAUCAUCUCGUAGGGCUUUCAUAUAAAGCGGAGUCCUAUACAACCGCCUAAGUUGCCUAGAGGUCGAACCACUACUAUUUACAAGCCAAUAUUGGAGUGUUGAGGUAACUAAAUAUGAAGCCAUGGCUGGUUUUUUGGGGGAGAAAGAUUUGGAAGAGAUGAUGUUGAGAGGAACGGGGGAGUUCAUAAAGUUUUAGGAUAACGUGGAGGGUAUUUUGGACAUAUUACUGUCUUAGCUUAAAUUUUGGGAAAAAGAUAAUCAAUAAUAAACUAUUUUUUUUAUUUUAGAUUUUAAAUCGUAAAUUUAGUAAAGGAAGUUAAAUCAAGUGAUCACUUGAUUGUUUUCCUAUCAAUAAUAAACUCUUUUUUCAUAUCAAUUUAAAACUCCGAGUGUGUCUCCAAAAAUUGUUUUCCUUUUUUUUAUUUUGGAUUUUAAAUCGUAAAUUUAGUAAAGGAAGUUAAAUCAAGUGAUCACUUUUUUUUUAUGCAAAGCAAUUAAUCUUUUUUGUAAUACCAAACUCCUAUUUCAUCUACCGAAACUACAAAAAUUAAUAUUUUCUAUCAAAUCAAAACCAAAAUUAAAAGAUAACUUAUUAUCUGCCAACUGUCAUUCAACGAAGUCAUCACUCACGCAAAAAAGGAAAAAAGAAAAAAAAAAGUGAUAUAUUGAUUUUAACAUAAUUUCAUACCUCUCUCAAAAAAAAAAAACAUAAUUUCAUACCAACAUAUCAUUCGAGGUUGAUGUGGAAAAGAACUAUUUUUAGUCCAAUUUCAUGUUUGGAUGUUGAGGUUGAUGUGGAAAGGAUGUGGCUCCCACGUAAAACCCAUCGCUUCGUUCUAAACUAAGUGAAUUUAUCUCGUGAGCUAAGUAGUUUAGGAGAUAACUCAAAUAAUUAAUUUUUUAUUAGUUCAUUAAUAAGAAUUUUUUAUUAUAUUUUAAAAAGUAUAAUUCAUUACCAAAAAAAUAUUCUUAAUAAAAAUAACUGUUAUUUAAGAUAUUACAUUUUGACAAUAAUAAAAUAAUUCAAAAUUAAUUAAUUUAAUUUGAUCUCAUACUUUAUUAUUAAAAAACUUAUAAUAUCUUUAUUAAUUUUAUUAAAUUAUUAUUUAAAAGUCAUACAUUUACUGCACACUGUCAACUUUCUGCUAUUUUUUUUGUUCUCACAACAACUAGUAAUAUCAAACAAGAGCUAAGUUAAGUAUGAUCAAUUAAUUAAAGUUUUCAUUUUUUGUAUAAAAUAAUCCUUAGAUAAUUAGUCUAUAAAGAGUAUUGGCUACUUCAAAUGGAAACUUGUGAUCAAAAGUGUAUUACAGAAGUGACAAAGGCACACUAUAUGAGAAAUCUGAAAUAGAAUUUGCAAACUUGAACUGGGUUACAGAGAGUUAAUAAGACUCCAAAGGAACAUGGAAACUAUUAUCUUUAUUAAAUAAUAGUAAUACAAGCUAUUAACUGACUAUUAUCUUUAUUAAUUUCCAUAGCGAAAACAAAAUUAACUUUCCUAACUGACUAGAAUUUAACUCAAGGAAAAUUAGAAUAUACGACGUUGUAUCACAUACGGUAUUUAGACAUCAAGAGAAGAUUCCCUCUAUCAGUGAACUAUACUUGCCAGGAAAUUAACCCCAGGCGAGUACCACCACCUCCUACUAUUUCUUAGGUGUCUCAGAGUUUGAUGAGGACUUCCAUGAUGUGUCUCUUCGACAGGCAGCGAAAUUGGGCAAUUGACUACAUUAACUCCAACAAAUUUAUGCAGUCACCUUCCUCCGGACUAUCCUCUUUCUUCGCGCUUUAGUUGCCCUUAUUUCCCCUUUAAUACAGUCAACAUUAUCUUGUUUGAUGCCAAGGAGACCAAGCCCAGAAACAAUGGCAUUCUUUGAUAUCAACCACCUGGGGACUUUUGAGCUGAGCCAUGACAUCCUGAGAUGGCCUGUUGUGUAAGCCUUCUUCAAAAGGUCAUCCGUUAAUCUUUCUCCUAAUUACACAUUCAAAACCCUGCAUGGAAUCGAUUUGAGAAGUUGGACAAUAGACAAACUCCAACACAUAUAGACAGUAAAGAAGAAUUUAGACCGCAAUCACUGUGGCUCAACAAAUGGGCCUAUUAAGCCUAUUAAAAGUUGGAACCAUAUUCACCGCUCGCAUUUCCUUAGAGAACUAUAUCAGAAUUCUGUAAAUGUAAAACUAUUCUUACAUAUUUAACUGUAAAACAAGAGAAAUUGUACUUCCGUAGCAAAGUCUCGCUAUUGGUAAGUAUUGGACUUGGAAAGGAUGCUAGUUGAUGAAGUAAAGGAAAAUUGAAAUCAGACUUUGAGGUGACAGAUCUAUACACUUCAAUAGGAACCACAUUGACAUCAUAUGAGACAAAUAAACAUUCCCCAGUCAAAGUUUAACAAACAAAACAUUAAAACAAGAGUAAGUUGGUCUAUCAAUGUAUAUAUAGACAUGUCGAUCAAUAGACAAAUACGUAAAAGAGGGAGGGAGAGACCUCAAAGCCGUGCUACUCCAAUAACUUCAAAAUUGUUGGUGACCACUCUAUCAAAUCCACCCAAUAGUUGCAUACACUCACCGAUGGGUUUGUCACAGAUAACCUGUUAGGCAUUAAAAAUUGCCCAAAUUAAACAAAUGUUAGACCAGCUUAGACAGUAAACGGAACAAUAUUCUAAUUUUACUUUAUUUAUAACGAAUAAGUGAACAAAGGAAUAAAAAGGAAUUUUGGCAAAGAAUCCUGCAGCUAAUCCCACCAUACACCGCUCUGCAGGCUUAUUUGGGAAUCAAAAUUCUCAAAAUGUACUAAGAAAUGACAUUUGUUUACUAGUCCCACCAACAAGGAGGAAGUGACGUGAAGAGAAUUUACUAAGAAAUGCCAGUGUAUUAAUAUUGAAGGAAAACAUUCACAGACGACCAAAAUCGCUGAUAUAUACUUAAUUUCUCACUCACUAAGAACGUUCAAUUCAUUCAAAUGAAACUUCCACAGGAAGGUCUCAUUAUUAAGGCUUUAGCUUCACCUCACAUGCUCAACAAUUCAAAUUUGAGGAUGAUAUUUCUCCGAAUGGAGGGCUCUAUUUGGCUUGCCAAUAAUCUUCCUCACAACUAUCAUCCUUGCUAUAUCGGUUGCACUGAGCAAUCUUCAUUCUGAUAUUUGCCCUAUUAAGCUGAGUACACAAGAAUCCGAAACAACUGUUAGAAAUUUUAAUCUUUAUAUAUAGCCAAAAUGGUGAAUAAGAUGAUGUAUUGAUAAUAAAUACCUGAGUUAAUAAAUAAUUAAGGGGCCGGUAACAAUCUCAGCAUUUUAUCAGGUGGGGAAAGCCUUCGCAACGAAGAUGCUGCUUGCUUUCAAGCAAUAAUAACUUUCCAAUUCCAUAAGAUAGCUUAAUGCCCUUUUAAGAAUAUCUCCACCAGCCUAACAAUUAUUCAUGGAAAUCCAAUUUGCAUUUGUCGCCUUCAAUUUGCUCAUCUUUGUCUAGAGUAUUGUUUUUGCAUUAACUUAGCUAGCUUGCAAACCACCUGCAGAUGGUUUUAAAUAAUGUGUGAGAGUGUGAAUUCAAACGAAUUAAUUAAAUAUGAUGACAGGAGAAACAAAAUUAAAAUAACCACAAGAAGUAGAACUAUACUUUUGUGAUAUUCAGAGCAUCUCCUACUGUCUUCAUUUCCCUUAGCUCUGUUUCCCUUUGUGCUCGAACACAAUGCCUCAAGGCUCAAGAUAAUUUGAUGACCAUCAAUCUUUUUGCAGCCACAUGUAGACUUGAAAAACUGUUGGCGGCCCUAAAGAACUUGAAAAUUAGAAAAGAUUCAGAAUGAGUGACUAAAUAUUAUAAUCGAAACUAAUUAAACAAACGCGCCUUGAAAAUCUGAAACUGAAUUACUCAAAUGUAUAUGCCCCUUCACAGCAAUUGCAUGCACGUGGUGGAAAUUUUACUGCGAAGACUUUCUCAAACCUUGAAGAUCACACUCGGCCUGACAACAAAGAAACAAAGUCAAUAUACGAAGAUGAUUUUACUAACAAGUGAGAGCUUACAAAUAUUUGAAGGAUAACGAUCACUCAUAACCCAAAUCCCCAGUAUUCCCUAAUAUUUCACUCAAGUGAGUUCAAGCUCCCAAAUUUCACUACAGUGAAAUGUCAAAACAAAACUCUCUUCUCAAAUUUGAUGAUGAUAUCUCUCGAAGGGAGGCAAAAGAAUCUAACACUGAUCAAAUUGGCUUGUGAACAAUUAAUCUUCCUCGCCAUCAUUCAUACCAGGUGCGGUGAAAAAUCUUCAUUCUGAUAUUUGCCUUAAUAAGCUGCUUAGUAACCUUAACCUGAUAACUCACACAAACAAAAACAACUUGCCUAAAGUUUAAUAUUUCGAGCAGAACAGUAAAGAAGAUGAUAUCUAUUGAUGCUAAAAUUUGACCUGUGUUACCCUGAUGUCAAAAAUCAUAGCAUCUCAUGUGGGCAAAAUCUUCGCAACACGAGAUGCUUGCAAAAUUGGAGCAGCAUCUUAUCACCUGUAAUUUAAUUGAGACAAUAACUUUCCCCAACCAUUUCAAUGCAUUAUUGGCAACUAAAUUCAGAGGGUGCUAAUUAAAUACCCUUUUAACAAUAUCUUCUUAUUCUUCUUCAAUCUAACAAUUAUUUGGAAAAUCUAAAUGACAAUCAUGCAUCGAUGGCAUGAAAAUUUGGCUAAAAAGUAGCCUGGAAAAGGCUGCUCUCUGAAUGAGAGCAUGAAUUCGAACAAAUAUGAUGAAUGAAUAAAUAAAGGCAUAAUACCACAAGAAGUAAAACUUUUACCCAGAUUUCUGUUUCUGUUUGUGCUAAAACCAAUGGAAACCGAUGGAAAUGAAUUUCUACGAAUUAGACAUAUCAGCCAAAACAGGUACUCUGUACAAGCAAAGUAAAAGAGGGUUACAAAAAAUUUUAAUAUUGAUAUGAUAAUUAUAAUUAUAAUGAAAAUUUCAGUUACCAUAUAAUUAAUAGAUAACUCUGUACAUAAUGAUUUAUUGCAUAUUAAGAUUGUAUACCUGAAUUUUAAUUGCUUUACAAAAUAUGGUAGUAGCAUUAGGAGACCGCACCAAACGUACCGAAUUGAAUGUGCCUUUUCACAGCCAUUGUACCAGCUUUGAAGCAUUACCACAAAUGCUUUUUCAAACCCGUGAACAUGAUGCACCCGAGAGAUGAUUAUCUUAGCACCUAAACAUCAUGCAAUAAUAAUCAUCAUGUCUUUCAGGCAGCUAUCCAUCCUCAAUUGAAACAGAGCAGACCCGGCCAUCACUUCCUUCUUCAAAUUCCAGCAACCAAACGUUGCACAAUAACCACAGUGAUAAUCCUUGGUUACCCCAAUGUUCUCCAUAGAGUCUUCAACGUCAACCUAAAAAUGAAAUAAAAAUGCAAUGCAGGUGGAAAUGAAAAUUCUAUAAACUAAAUAAAAUAAAAAAUGCAAUGCUUGAGCUUGAGCUUGCUUUAAUCAUCAUAAUAAUCGAAUUUGGAUAUAUCUUUACUUCUCUGUGGUUCAAUCAUUUACUUCCCUGUUCUUGUUUAUUCACAACAAGAUAUCAAUAGAAGAAGAUGGAAAUGAAAUUCUAUAAAAUAAAGCAAGUGAAUUACCAGCAGAACAUUUUAGCAAUCCUUUGGCUAAACUUUUCAUUUUCAUAGUCUUGCUCUCCUGCCUGCAUCAUCAAAACCAAAUUAGAUUGGACCGGACAUUUCCUCGAAUCUCUGGUGAACAUAAUUAAACUCGUAUGAAAUAAAACAAAGUGGGCUAAUGUACUACUAAAAAAAUUACACAAUUACUUUAAAGAAUUAAUGUCACAUAAAUUAUAUACAAAAAAAUACGAUUAUCAUUAUACAAGAUAAAAUUGAUAAUUUAGUUUUCAACGUUACUGCAAAUGUAUCACAGAGAUUUUGUCUCUCAGGAAGUUACACAUGAUAAAUUUUGGUACAUUAAAAAAUAAAUUACAUUAGGAUUUUCCAUGAUGUUGUAUGAAAUUUUAUAAAAGUCUACUUAUUUUUUAAAAGAAAAUAUAGGAAUUUCAACAGAUUACAGUUUUUUUAAUAAUUUAAUCUUUAGAAAAUUAGUUUAACAGAUUUGAUAACUAAGAAGUUUAAAUUUUAAAUAAUUAAAAUUAAAAUAUUAUCCUAACUAACUUUUAAAUUUAUGAACUAUUGAUUAAAUCUAACCGUACAUAUUUAUACCAUGAUUGGUUUUAUAAUUUUUAUAACAGCAUCAUAGAGUGACCCAUUAAAUUAUUGGCAAAUUAAUGGCUGAAGUAAAUAGAUAAAUUCAAUAUGCAAAUCAAAAUAUUAGAAAUAUAUAAUAUAUUCAUGUCACACAUUGGCAAUAUACAGAAUUUUAAUUCAUAAUAUAAUUAUUUUUAUUAAUUUCAUUGCAAGCAACAACGGAGUAAAUCAGAGGAGGAGAAGAAAUUACCGUUGGGUGAUAUCUCGAUGUGGGGAAUGUGAGAUAUCUUAUGCCAAUCUUCUCCUUUCGCCUCCCUAUAACGGUUUUCCAGAAGAGGACAUUGCUCAAUCCUCAAUUUCUGCAGUGUCGUCAAUUGAAGAAGGUAAUCCGGCAGCACCUUUAAUUUGGGGCAAUACUCAAUUUCCAAGGAAGAAAGACGUGGUAUGUCUGUUGUCCUGUGAUCUUCUAGAAUGGGCAGUUCUUCCAAAUUUUCACAAAAACUAAUACUCAGUUCCUGCAGUGCCGUCGUUUGAAGAAGGUAAUCCGGCAGCGCCUUUAAUUUGUUGAAACCAGAAACUGUUAAAGAAGAAAGACGUGGCAUGAUGGAGAUGUUUUCCUUCCUCGUAAUCCUGUAAUUCCACUCUUCCAAUUCUUCCAUGUCCCAAAUUAUGAGUGAUUUCAAUUUGGGGAAGGCAAUAACUGAUGGUGAUGAUGAAGAUGAAGACGGGCCAUCCUCACUGCUUUCUUCUAUUCCCAAAAACUCAUUACCCACUCUUUUUACACUUUUCAAGUGGAUGAUUACGAGUUUUUCCAGAGGCAAUUUUCCCAAAGGAGGCAAAUGCUCACACUUAACGCACGAGCGAAGAUAUAAAUUCCUUAGAUUGGUCAGUGAAGUCAACCAUUUGGGAAAAAUGUUGCGUCCAUAUAAUAUAAUCCCUAAUUUCUCUAAAUUCACAGGCGGUUGUAAGGCUUCAAGAAGUAGUUUAUCUUUCUCAUUCUUCCUCCUCCCUUCUUCGCCUUCCCCAGCUACGACUCUACCAAACGCAAGAUGCAAACGAAGGAGGUUUUUCUUAUUGUAAAGUUGUGACCUCUCAGCCUCAUCUACAUGCGAUACAUUACCCAGCCCUUCUAUUCCACAUUCACGAAGGAGUUGAAGAUUUUUCAGAGAUUCAAGCCUACACGUGCUGCCGCCAUCAACACCUCCACCCACAACAAACUUUUCUAAUGUUCGAAGACUCGUUAAUUUGGAAAUCCCUAUUGGCAGGUACUUCAACGAACGAGUUUUAUCAUUCAGUAAACUCCUCAUGUUCAUUAACUUCCCAAUCCCCGCUGGCAAUUCUCUAAGAUUCUGGCACCACCUAAUAUCUAGCUUUUGUAAAUUAUAUAAUUCACACAAAGUCUCAGGUAGUCUCUUUAUGCCUAAUUCAGAUAAAUUAAGAUAUUUUAAAUGUAUCAAUUUUUCAACAUUUUCUGGAAUUUUUCUAAUCC
rnacentral:lncRNA from 1 species